AAAAGGUCAGGAUCUUCAUGUACCCGAGCAGCAUCUAAAAGGUUAGAAUCGAUCCGUUGCUGGUUAUUUGUUUACUAUCUCGAAUGUGUUGUUGCCUGAUGCACAAUUUUCUAAAUCGAAUUGUCAGCUAUUCAUGAUUCAUCCAUGUGUAUUUAGUUUGGUCCGUCCGUCAGUAAAAAUCUUAUCACACACUUGCAGUAUGUAAUAUGUGCUGGCAUUCUUCUCUUGAGCAAAUUACAUAGUGAAGUGGGAAAAUGGGCACUACUUGUGUAUACUGAAUUUGGUCCCAUAUGUAAAUUUGUGUAUCAUGCACAGAUAUUUCUGCUCUUGCAGCAUCUUGCUGGACAUGUGACUUCACCUUGAUCAACUGAGGAUUAGUCGCUUGGAACUUGCAUAAAAAAUAGCUGCAUUAGUUAGCCUUUAGGCAUUUGCAAGCACUAUUGAUACGUCAUUUUUUACUUGCACUGAAUAAGAGAGAGGGAAAGAAUGAUGGUAGGGAUGAGUAAUUUCUGGUUGUGUUUCUCGCACAUGCUCCGGAAUUUUAGUUUGAUGAUAUUCUGUUGCCGCAGUAUCUUAUUUUGUGCAUAAUUAAUCAUUUUUUACUUGCACUGAAUAAGAGAGGGACAGAAUGAUGGUAGGGAUGAGUAAUUUCUGGGUGUGUUUCUCGUACAUGCUUGAGAAUUUUAGUUUGAUGAUAAUCUGUUUCCCCAGUAUCUUACUUUGUGCAUAAUUAUGUUUCGAAAUUCUUCAUAUAAAUCUUGAUUCAGAGCCUUCUGUGUGAUCCACUAGUAAUGUUAUAUGUCCCAUCGAAUGCAGGUUAUUUUGAAGUCUGGAGGGUUUCGCUCGUCCCUUAGGUUUCAUUUCGAGUCAUGUAAGAUGGAUUCAGGCCGGGAUAGCAAGUUGAACUGCUGUUUCCCUGUGAAGAACUGUAGUCUUCAUGUUAUCUUGAAUGUGUGGGUCGCAUAUUAUAUGAUGUUAUAUGUAGUUCGAACCUGAUGCUGUGUUUUGCCCACUUUUUGCGUUCUAUCCUUGCAAUUUUAGCUAUCAAAUCUGAUUCAGUGAUGUUUUUACUCUUCUUUUAUGAAUGUUUGUAUGCCCUUUUGAUGAUUGGUGGAAGAGUUUAACUUCUUUUGGCUGGGUACUGACCAGCGCAAGAACUUGUUUGAUUGGGAAGAUCAAAAUGCCUCCUAGGAAAUUGUUGAACGCCCAUGUCUGUUAGACUGCCAAGGUUCAUGUGCACUUUGUGCAUGUCCUCUCCCGGAUCGUUAGCCUGUAGCAUGUUGUCAGCACCUCCCCAUGCACGUUUCCCUGCCCCCUGUGCAUGUAUUUUUUGCCCUUGGCCAGAAAUUCUAAUAUCUGAAAAACAAUUUCUGGUAACCAGUUGGUGGUUACAUAAUUCACAAUAUGUGCAUUUUGGUUCCAAAGAUCUGCAGCAAGGCUUUAUCCAAGAUGCUGGCCGGUUACACAUUUUUAAAAUUCUAAAAAAGGUGUGUAUGGUAAGCUAUGUUUUUAGCGAAUUAUGUGACUUCAUUAAUAGUUAUAAUCAAAUUUCUUCAAACAUCGCAUGUCUAACUUAAUUCAAAUUUUUUUGCUGUAAUUUUUGCUAAGAAACUGCAUAUUGUCGAAUAUGCAUGUAGAGGCAAGCCGUUGAAUUGGCAUUUUAUCAAUCAUCAUCACUGCCAUCAGUACCUGCCUUGCCUCUUUAGCAAACUAGCCAAUCAUACAUUUUUCACAUAUGUCCAUGAUUCCUUUGCAUCAGGAAAUCUUUCAUGUUUCUUCAUUUCUCCCUUUCGUAUUUCAUGUGCCUUGGUGAAAAUUUUCUUCCUAAUCUGUGAAUCACGGUAAUAUUCUUUCUAAUCUUUUUGUGAAUAUAUCCUUCCUAAUCUGUGAAUGAUUGAUUCUUUCCAAUGCAUGGAAAUCAUGUAUUGUUUUCCGACUUUGUUUGUUCAUGAGAUGAUGAAGAAAAAUGCAGUCACAUUUUUUUCUUGAUUUUUUUUCACGAUCGAGGUGAAACGCAUAAAGCUCAUAUAUAUUUUCCUUAUGUUCAUGAUCGAGAUAAAAACAUAAACAUAAACUCUAGCAUGGUUAUUUUUUAAUAACACAAAUACGAUUUGUGUGAGAGAUGAGAAGAUAGAUGAAAAAUUUGUGUACUGGGAACUCACUAAAAUAGAAUGUUCGUUAUGUAAAAUGGAAGGGACUGAAUGGCGUACGAUAGCUAAAGCUAAUGGGGUAGAAUAUAUUGCAAAGAAAAUACACAAAUCUUAGAGCAAUCNNNNNNNNNNNNNNNNNNNNNNNNNNNNNNNNNNNNNNNNNNNNNNNNNNNNNNNNNNNNNNNNNNNNNNNNNNNNNNNNNNNNNNNNNNNNNNNNNNNNNNNNNNNNNNNNNNNNNNNNNNNNNNNNNNNNNNNNNNNNNNNNNNNNNNNNNNNNNNNNNNNNNNNNNNNNNNNNNNNNNNNNNNNNNNNNNNNNNNNNNNNNNNNNNNNNNNNNNNNNNNNNNNNNNNNNNNNNNNNNNNNNNNNNNNNNNNNNNNNNNNNNNNNNNNNNNNNNNNNNNNNNNNNNNNNNNNNNNNNNNNNNNNNNNNNNNNNNNNNNNNNNNNNNNNNNNNNNNNNNNNNNNNNNNNNNNNNNNNNNNNNNNNNNNNNNNNNNNNNNNNNNNNNNNNNNNNNNNNNNNNNNNNNNNNNNNNNNNNNNNNNNNNNNNNNNNNNNNNNNNNNNNNNNNNNNNNNNNNUCUAGAAUUGCAUUUUCGGUUGAUGUGGUCGUGUGUCCUUCCCCUGAUUUGAGGGUCCAUCUUUCGAGCAAAGGUCCAAUCACCAAAAAUUAUCUUCUUGGGUUUCCCGUCAUAUCUAAGGAUGACAAUGGGUCGGGUUUGGAUCGGGUUGAACAAUCUCAAAUCCAUAUCCAUGUCCAUGACGACAGUCUUUGCCCAUCCAUGAAAAAAUCCAUGGGUGAAAAAUUGUGUCCAUGUCCAAAUCCGAUGGAUAUCCAUACCCAUUAAAUAUCCAUUGGGUCCUCUCGAGACAUAUAAAUAAGACAUAACACAAUAUUAACAUAAACUCUUCCAUUCUUCACCUCGUGGUAGGCUAUGCUUCACUUAUGGUAAAUCAACAUCCGCUAAUAACUUAAGAUCAUUUAGUAUUUUUCUAACAGAUGAGAAUGACGAGCCAUUUAAGAAGGAGGUAAAAAUAAGGAAAGGGGUGUUGGAGUAUGUUACAGAGGGGAUUGAAUGUCAACUAAAAAAGUUACGAUGGGGAUUGUGUAAUUUCUUAUGCAUGUUUUAGAUAAAAAAAAUAUAAAAUUGUUGUGGGACAUAUGACCGUGGGGCAGGGAUAGCAAUUUUUUCCCCAUUAAGUCAUACUAUCGGGUCGGGUUUGGGUAUAUCCACGGGUACAAGAUUAUAUCCAUGCCCUAUCCACGAACAAUCGGGUCAGGUUUGGGCGCCGCCCAUGGACACAAAAGCAUAUCCAAACCCUAUCCAUUCGGGUCGGAUAUCCAUGGAUGUCCAUGUCCAUACAUAAAAUUGCCAUCCUUAGUUAUAUCUCAGUGCCGCCUGCCAACCCAAGCACAAAGACUCAAUGGCCGAUGAUUUGAAGGAGGUCGUCAUGAAGGCCACCAGCAACGUGUGUCGUUGUUGCGCAAGCCAAGAAGGCUAAGGUCACCAGGAAAGCCAGCACUCCUGCUCUCUCAUCCGGCUCGUGUCUAAUGUGGGUGGGCAUGAGCACCAUCCCAAGGUCCUUGCCAUUCUCAAUUUUUGUAGUGGCGCUCACCGACUAUGAGAGGGCGGGGAAAGAUUCAACGGUAGCAUUUCAAUGACAUGUGCGAGGCCAACUCCAACACAGAAAAGGACUAGCCCAAGACAAGCAAAACCAAAAUAAAGGCAGCCAAUUUAAACUACACACCAAUCGAAAAAUAAAAUAUAAUCCAAUAAGUGAAAAACGGGUGCGGCGAAGCACAUGUAUCCCUCUAGUUCAGAUUAUAACCCACAUGAACUACAGUGACUGUCCGUCCGAACAAAACAUCAAAUGCUUAUUGGUGUCGGGCGCAUGGUCUAAGAGCGUCACACUUAUGCAACAUGCAUGAAGAAUAUUAACUCAAGUAUGCAAAAGAGGAUUUUACAUCCACUCGGCGUUCAACACUUAAACAUACUAGGGUUCCUCCAUAUCCCCGAGAAUAGGGGUAGUACUUGGACACAAAAACGACACACCACAAGGAUAACAAUGUGAACAUGGAUGAACGAUCAAUGUAAUACACGUGCGUUUCCACCUAGGGUCUACUAUUACAAAGAGAUGAAAAGGGGAUGGUGACGACUAUGGCUGAUGCCGGAGUCUCCUUGGUCAAGAUGUUGGCAUGACAGAGCCCUUCUAUCGAUUCCCCCUCGAAUCCCUUCCGGAGGCUAGGGUUCUUAGUUCCAGUGAAGUUUCUCGUGUCUUUUCAACUCUGAUUCGUGUCGAAUCCUUCGUGGUGAAAUAGUCGAUCCAUUGAGGCGAAACCACUUGGUAUGAGCGAGGGUACAAGAGGUUGCGCUCAUACCAGGCGUCGUCUUUCUCUCAUGGGUGCCCUAUUUUGGCUGGAAAUUGCUCCACUCAAUCGCUUCUCUUUAUGAUAGGUUUCCAUCGUGUGAAAUAACAUGAUUUUCAUCCAUAUAGCCGUGUUCUCCUCUUUAACGCUUGCUUCAGAUCCUCUUGUUGGUUAAGAUCAUGGUGAAAUCAAUCAAAAGGGUGCGCGAACGAUGUAAAAAUUCCGAUAAUCUACAGAUACAACAUAGAAACUAGAGGUAAAAACUAAUGCAAAUCUAGACUCAUCAGGCGCGCUGAGAGGCCUCUCACGCUACCCCAAUUGAGAGGUCACGACGAUAGGAGUUUCUCCCCGGUCGCCAAGGGGACGCCACUACUGGAUUCAUGCUCUCUAUGCAUGGAUGCAACAAAAGUCCAAGGGUCGGGGCUCAUGUCCCGCCUGAGCACGAGUCGCCACGAGGGCCCCUUCAAAGAUCUCAUUAGCCCCAAUGGAUGCAAUCUGUUCCAAGCGAGGCCCAUGCUCGUCGCAGAACACCAUCACACCGUACGUGGCGACAUUAGACAAGUGCUUUAGAGGAAUCGUUCGAGGACUGAGAACCCAAACCCGAAAGGCGAGGGAAGGGAGGGGAAGUACCUGAAUCAAGGUUGCAGAGUACAACUGUGGCCUUUUGUUUUGGGUCGCACGAGUAACAUACUCCUAGUUGUGAGAGAAGUAAUAGCUGUUUUUUUUAAUAUAUGCGUCGCAUCCGUAAAAGACUACUCCAACAAAAUUGUGGAGUCGCACAAAAGGGAGUAUGUUUUUUUUUUGAGGAUAAGGGAGUAUGUUUCUAAAUUGUGUUUCUGUGCGCCGAAAUUACAAAAUUCCCGCCAGCCACGGAGAAAAUUUCCUGCUGCCCACCAUUUCGCCCACGUCAUCGAUCCGAGGCACCGGCCUCUCCACCAAUCAGCGCGCACCUCCUCCCCUCUAUAUACUUCCUCCGCCCCCCGCCUCCAUUCACAUCUGCAAUUCCCCACCUCCCAGCGAAACACCUCCCGCUCCCUCUCCCACCUCCGAAGCAGCAGCAGCAGCCAUGGCCCCCAAGGCAGACAAGAAGCCGGCCGCCGAGAGCAAGGUCGAGAAGGCGGCGGAGAAGACCCCGGCGGGCAAGAAGCCCAAGACCGAGAAGCGGUUUCCGGCGGGCAAGACGGCGGCCAAGGAGGGCGCCGGCGGCGAGGGCAAGACGAGGGGCCGGAAGAAGGGCGGCAAGGCGAAGAAGGGCGUGGAGACGUACAAGAUCUACAUCUUCAAGGUGCUGAAGCAGGUGCACCCGGACAUCGGCAUCUCCUCCAAGGCCAUGUCCAUCAUGAACUCCUUCAUCAACGACAUCUUCGAGAAGCUCGCCGGGGAGUCGGCCAAGCUAGCGAGGUACAACAAGAAGCCCACCGUCACCUCCCGGGAGAUCCAGACCUCCGUCCGCCUCGUCCUCCCCGGCGAGCUCGCCAAGCACGCCGUCUCCGAGGGCACCAAGGCCGUCACCAAGUUCACCUCCUCCUAGACUGAAUCUGAAUGCGUCGCCUUGUUGUUCCAAAUGUAGUACUAGUUGGCUGCUGUUGACUCUGCCUGUCUCUCUGCGAGUAGUGGUAGUGGUAGAUGAUUGCCAACGCUUCGUUGGCUCCUUGGUUGUUAGAGGUGAACUUGUUGCUUUUGCAAACUGAUAUCACUAUCUAGAAAAUGUUGCAGUCGUGGUUCCAUAUCCGUAUCAGUGAUGAAUUUGAUUGAUGCUGUCUUUUCUACUCUUGUGAACUGAACACUCUGUCCGCGAGCUCUAGUGCUGAUGGACCGGAAUUGCUGGUGCUUGCCAAUGCUACUCACGCAAACUGGGAUGCGAUUUAGAAUAACGAUGCAUUGAUGCUGCUCGUUUGUGAUUUCUUCAGUCUCUGAUUUGAUUUAGAAUAGCAAGUGCUUGCACUGCUCUCUGCAAUGUGUUUAUGCUUUUGUACGGUACCAAUUUAAGUUCAGUUUCCAGACCCUGCCCAUCAGUAGGUUCCAUUUCUGCACGAGACCGAGAAAACCAGUGUUGAGUGGGACGGGUGCCACUGAACGCGCUGACCGCUCCAUUGCCGCCUGUGAUGAUCAUUGCAAUGCAGAACUGAGAGCCUUGGCAUGUCCUAUGUCCGGUUCUUCGUUUCGGCACCCCAGUAGUUAGCAUUGCUAAUCUAUUACUCUGCAAUUGCCUGAAAAUCAAAUCGGAGGGAGUAGCAAUUGGUAAACCAGGCUGUUACUCUGAUAAUGUCAAAUGUGAGUUUACAUAGUACUGUACAAUACUAUGUACAAGCAAUGCGUGGCAAAAAUAAAAUAACGAAUGUUCCAAUUCACAUACUAGUAAACGGUAAUGGCUUUGUCUUUGAAGAGAUACUUCGGAGGUCUGAAAAGUUGCGGAUCAGCAAUGGAGCCACGUCGAGUUUGGACGAAGAGGUGAUCUGCCCUCUUUUUUACUUUGGUGACCGCUUUGAUGGUGUCGGAGAAGGGUGACAGAAGCUGGCAUCAAGCUCAAGAGAUUCUUCGGUCUUGACUUGUACUUUAUUCUUAGGCGACCGCCGCUGUUAGGCGGUUAAACAUUUUUUAAAUUAAAAAAAUGCAUGCACUUUUCUGUAUCUUAAGUUGCACAUAUUUUUGUGCAACUCUAGUACUCUCAAUAUUCAAGUCGGUCAAAAUCAAACAGGGAGGUUUUCUUUUGUGGGAAUGCCAAAGUAGGUUAAGCUACAUUUUUUUAGCAAACUAACCGACUUUCUUAAAAAUCAAUCAAAGUUCUUCAAAAGUCACAUCUAGUCACAUCUCUAACCGAAGUCAAAUGAAUAUCAAUUUUGUAUAAGCUGGGCUAACCUCAACUUCUUUUGAAAAGUCACACAGCCACCCAUGAGGUAUCUAGAGCAUGUAUGUGGUUGGGCCACACCCCUUGCCUUGUUCACUAUCAUCAUCAUACCACCAUCACUACCACCACUUCCCGGUGACUGAUGAUAAUCCACUUGAACUAGAGCCGACUAUCCGUCCAAACAGAACACGAAAUGCUUCUUGGUGUCAGGUGCAUGGUCUAUGAACGCCACGCCAUGACAAAAGUUUAGCCAUGCAAGUUUUAUUAUAUUGUCAUUGCAAAAAACAAACCUAUAAUGGAAGAACCUAAAAUCAUAACUAUGGCAUUGAUCCGUAGUUCUCCCACUCUUGAUAGCUUGUGAUAGAAAAACAGGAUAAAACUUUUUUUUUUGGAGUGAAGAGAGAAUUUGGUAGAGCAGAAAAUAAAAAAAUGGAGCUUUCCCUCUGGCAGCCAAAGUUUUUUUUACUCUUGGUGGUAGACGGUUAAUUGGGUGGGCCAGGUGGCAAAUCAGGACUACACACAAAAUGGGUUUGCCACAUGGGCUUCAAUAACUGUUGAGCCAUAUAUCCUGCAGGCUCAGGCCAUGGCCGUGGAAGUGCAUACAAACCAGGCUUUCGUAUGCCUAAAAAAUCCCAGGCCCCGCUUGGGAGAUCUGGAAAAUAUACCCCUGUAAAUAUUCUACAUCUGUAUUUUACUUGCCACCAAUGGAAGGGGGAACCACGUGACACUCGUGGUAGGCAAUCCAAACUUGGUGAACCAAUGGAAGGGGAAUCAGUUCAAAGAAGUAAAUGGAAGGGGGAACUUAUUUGGCGCACAGGUCACCGGUUAGCGACCGCGCACGUACCUCCCUCAUGCAUGCGUUUUUGUAUGGGCCGGUCCAUUUAUGAGUUUCAUCCAACCUAUUUUGGGAAGGUUAUCCUUCCCUGAACCUUUUUUAUUUUUAUUUUUUUCUUUCGGUUUUAUCUCUCUCCUUUUCUUUUUUCCUGUUUGUUUAUGUUUAUUUUCCUGUUUACUUUUUCUUUUUUUCUUUUAUUUUCUGUUUUUCAUUUUCAUUUUUUUUUUUCAAUUUUAAAAAUGUUUUAAAAUUCGUGAACAUUUUGUAAAAUCAUAGACAUUUUUUUGAAAUCAUGAACGUUUUAUAAAUUCACAAAAUUAUUUUCGAACAUGUUCUACAAAUUCAUGAAAGUUAUCUGAAAUCAUUAACAUUUUCCGAAUUCGUCUACAUUUUCAAAUUCAUAAACAGAAUUUUGAAAUAAUGAACAUUUUUAAAUUGGUGCACAUUUUUUUUACAAAACGUGAGAUUUUCAAAUUCAUGAGCUGUUUUGAAAUCACGAACAAUUUUUAAAUAUAUGAACAUUUCUUUUUACAAAUUUGUUAACAUUCUCUUUAAAAAGUUCUGAACAUUUUUCUGAGAGGGGUGCGCGCCGCGAUUGUUUUCCGGUGCGCGGUCGUCGAAUAGGAGGUCCCCCAAUGGAAUACCCUUGUAAAUAGUCCACCUUUGUAUUUUACUUGCCAUCAACGGAAUACCCAUGUAAAAUACAUCUGUCUUUGGUUGUGCCGGAGGCUGCAUCGAUGCGCAGAGCGGAGGAGAUGAAUUGGCCCAUCAUCUUUAUUGCCGGCUAUGACGAGCUUGCUCCCGUCACUCUGCAGUCGCCGCCGCCGUUGUUCCAGAGUUAGCUCCGGCAGUCGCCGCCAGCAUUGCCAUAGACCUUGCUUCGACAGUCGUUGCCGCCACGCAGUCCCUAAUGACAUUCCCACGGAGCCCCCGCUCUGUGCCUGACCAGGACCCCAAGCCCCCUGCUCGUCGUAGCCUCAACACGUCGGCCUGUGGGAGCUCCAGCUACGGCGACGCUCACACCAGAGACCCGCCAGGCUCGUGUUCCCUGCCACCGGUGCCUCACCCGUCCCGUGUGGUUCCGGCCGUCCGGCGGCGGGUGCGGGUGUGCCCUUCUCGUCGACUAGGUAAGUGAGACGUGAUGAGGAGUGUUUCUGAUACCAGCCAAAACCGAGUGCAUAAUAAUCUGGAAAACCCUGUAAACUUUACGGACCAAAACGACCAAGCAAUCGCCUAAUCGAAGCCCACCCGGAUUUCUUUACAGGACGAUCCAAUCGGGGGCCCAGGCUCUCGCUCCCUCUUUUCUUCCUUGUCUAAAGAAAAAAACGUUCUCUUUCUUCCCGCCUAUCCGCCGCCCCCCCCAAAAAAAAACUCCCCCCAAACCCACCAAGCAGCAGGUCGCCAUGGCGGAGGAGCAGAUGGAGGAGGCGGCGUCGUCCGCGGCGGCCUCCGGCACGCCGUUCCAGCUCCAGUUCGACAAGCCCAUCCCCUUCCAGGUNNNNNNNNNNNNNNNNNNNNNNNNNNNNNNNNNNNNNNNNNNNNNNNNNNNNNNNNNNNNNNNNNNNNNNNNNNNNNNNNNNNNNNNNNNNNNNNNNNNNNNNNNNNNNNNNNNNNNNNNNNNNNNNNNNNNNNNNNNNNNNNNNNNNNNNNNNNNNNNNNNNNNNNNNNNNNNNNNNNNNNNNNNNNNNNNNNNNNNNNNNNNNNNNNNNNNNNNNNNNNNNNNNNNNNNNNNNNNNNNNNNNNNNNNNNNNNNNNNNNNNNNNNNNNNNNNNNNNNNNNNNNNNNNNNNNNNNNNNNNNNNNNNNNNNNNNNNNNNNNNNNNNNNNNNNNNNNNNNNNNNNNNNNNNNNNNNNNNNNNNNNNNNNNNNNNNNNNNNNNNNNNNNNNNNNNNNNNNNNNNNNNNNNNNNNNNNNNNNNNNNNNNNNNNNNNNNNNNNNNNNNNNNNNNNNNNNNNNNNNNNNNNNNNNNNNNNNNNNNNNNNNNNNNNNNNNNNNNNNNNNNNNNNNNNNNNNNNNNNNNNNNNNNNNNNNNNNNNNNNNNNNNNNNNNNNNNNNNNNNNNNNNNNNNNNNNNNNNNNNNNNNNNNNNNNNNNNNNNNNNNNNNNNNNNNNNNNNNNNNNNNNNNNNNNNNNNNNNNNNNNNNNNNNCUUCUGCAUCGUCCCUCCCCUCCCCUCCCCGAAUUAGUGCAGGUCAGAAAGUCCCCUCUACCCCCGCAGCGGCGACUCGGGUGGCCGAAAACCUAGGCCCGCCGCCGGCCUUUCCUCGUCCCUCUCUCCUCCUCGUCGCCACCAGAGGGGUCCGCCGGCUCGCUGCGUGGGCUCCGGUGAAGGUGGUGGCGAGGAUCUCUCUCGCGGGGUGGGCUUCGGACACGAGGCGGCGGCCUCACGGGAGGACGCGGGUGGAUUUGGGCUGGUAAUCCAGGGGUGGCCGCACCCUUGCCGCAUGCCAACCGUUUGCCGAAAUUCCUAAGAGGGCUGGGCCGGGACCUAGUGGUUCCCUACUGUCACUUCGUGCGGCUGAGAGGGGUUUUGGCUGGGAUUUAGCGGUGGAUCGAUUCGUCUGACCUAAACACUAUCAGGAACCGCGCUAUUUUGAUAAUCUGGAACGGCAAACACCAUAUUUGUUUAUCGAGUUUAGCUUUGGCAUUUGCACCCAGUGAUCCAUUUUCCAGCCCUUAAGACAUGCUUGAUUCAUCCGAUUUCUAUUCUAUACCCUAUUCAGCAACAUUCAGCUAUAUAGACCCGACAGUUAGCGCUGCUUAAUAUUUGACAUCUUUAUGUAUUGCGUGCACCUUUUCCAUUUUCUGUUAUUUAUUUAUUAUAGAUUCAUAUUAAUAUGGUCCAUUAGUAAUUGUCUUACACAUGUUCUACUAUUGUUAGAUAAAAUUGGCAGAGUGGAACCCAGAGAAGGAUCUGCUUGCUAUGGUUACUGAUGACUCCAAGGUUCUCCUCCAUCGCUUCAAUUGGCAACGGCUGUGGACUAUAUCCCCUGGUUGCUACCCUCCCACCCCUUGGUGCUCAUAAUAAAAACGAUGAGCCAUCUAUCAAAUUAUUAUUUUUUCUUUCUUUUUAAAUGCCAAAAAACAAAUAUAGUUAUAGACAAUUCCUCAUGUUCGGUAUGUUCAAAGAAGUACAUGUCUUCUGUUGAGGUGCACCUUGUCUAUUCAACAAUAAGUACAUAAGCACAUAUUUUGCAGUCGUAUCCUAAGUAAAAGCCAGAUGCUUUGGCAAUUUGUGUUUAGAAGAAGUGAGAUCCCUGCUCCAUGACAAACUUCACAAGCUGAGAACACUGUCCGUUUUCUGUGUAGUCUUAUUAUACUUGCACCCUUAGGGCCUAUUUGGAAUGCAGGAUUCUAAAAAAGGCAGAUGCCAUGACUUCCUGGAUCUUACAGGAACUUGCAAACAUGUCUCUUUAGACUUCCACAAAAAGUUUGCUGGAAUUUGAAGAUAGAGAAUGUGCAUACAGGACACAGAAUAAUUUUCAUAGGGUCUAACCCCGAGAUCCUUUAAAAUUGGGAUGUUGGAGAGCAACCCAUAUAAUUUUUUGGUGGUCCCAUUCCUUCGAUCCAAAGGGCUUCUAUUCAAAAGUAAUCCUAUGGAUUGAAAUCCUACAAAAAUCGUAUAAAAAUCCUUUAACCCAUGGGAAGAGCUGGCAGAUCCGACAUCGGCACUGGAUAAUGGAUCACCUGGCGAUAGCCGAACUUCGAAAAUGAGCCUUUUCUUUUCCUUCCUCAAAAUGCAAGGGGCCCUUGAUGUAUGCUUUCUCAGUAGUUGAACUGACAGCAUCUGUUUUCAAGUUAAAAUGGUAGCAGGCACUAAAAUAGUAAAAUGCUUAUUUUUCAGGGAAGUGCAUCACAUCAAUUUGCUGGAGCCCUGAUGGUAAAAUAGUAGCACUUGGUACAGAAGAUGGUUUUGUUCUUUUGCAUGAUGUGGAGGUGUGUAUGCUGAAAGCAAUGGGUAGAAACUAUUGAUGGCUUCUUUUUUGUUGCCAGACUAUCUUUUCAUACUUCAUGCAAACCUGAACUCUGCAUGGUUCCUUAUAAUUUGCUAAUGGCACUGUUCUCAUUUUGGCCUUCAUAACUUUGGACUUUUAUGUAUGGAAUUAUUAGGAGAUCACUGGGGGCACAUGCUCCCAAGGACCUCUGAGACAACUAUGUGCAUACAUAAAGAAUAUGGAUCUUCCCAUAAAAAAUUGUGUCUCAGUAAUAUAAUGAAGUGGUUAGUUGAUGCUAAAACCAAACACAUUGAUACAGCACAUUCGAAUUGCUUUAUUUUCUGUUGAGCACCAUUUCGAAUUUGCAAUCUGUUGCAGUUUCAUCGUAACUGAAUUUGCAAUAUCAUUUUUUAUCACUGUGUGUUAGUAGUUAUUAUAAAAACUCCUUAUAUGAUCUCGAAGGUUGUAACAUAAGUACAUAAUCUAUUUUAUGUUUUGACUCUGUGCAAUUUGUGAUUUUUGUAUUACACAAACAAUCAUGCAUGCUAUUACAGUUUACUUGUUACUUCUAUUUACUUUACCACUUCGUGUAUGUAUAAAUAACAUGAGUGCUAAUUGCAGAAUGGGAAGAUGUUACGAAGUAUAAAAUCUCAUGAUGUUGCCAUCGUAUGUCUGAAUUGGGCAGAAGACGAACCACUAUCAAGGGUAUAUUUAUUCCCUUGAAAAACAUUUACUAUAUUUACUCAAGAUAUUAUUUGUUAAAUCACAUAUAGCUUGCAUCUUAUUGAAAAUUAUUCAGUGAAGCUUGCAACCGGAGAUGAUCAACUGCUUGAAUUUUGCACUUACUGAGAAUAGUAUAGGGUUUCAGUGGAAAAGUUCCUUACUAGAGCCCUCUGCUAAUUACUGCAGACUGACAAGGAAGACUUGUUAUCUUAUGAAGACCGCACUACACGUUUCUUUCCUCCUGCUCCCGUGAUGCCUAGGAUAGGCGGGCUCAAUUCGGGAGAUACUGGUCUUGCAGAUGAGAAUGAAGAAGCCAUUCAGGCAUUUUCAAGUGCUUCGUGUCAACGUUUUAAUAUUCUGUGCACUGGUGAUAAAGAUGGUUGCAUUUGCUUCAGUAUUUUUGGAAUAUUUCCAGUUGGAAAGAUAGUAAGUAAACACAAUAACUGAAUGCUCUACAUUUACAGUCAAUAUAAUCAGCUAUGCAUGCUUUCUUCUGAUUCUCAAGGUUGUUCUUAUCAUUAAUACUCUUUUGUUACUUUGACAGCAAGGCUCGUAUACGUUAACAGUAAAUAUGAUAUUAUGAAAUAGUUAUUUCUGCAAUAUUUUUACGAUCUAUGGAUAUUGACAGACUGUUGCCUACCUUUUGUCUUUGUAAAUGAUUAGUUCUGGGGCAUACCCUGGCAGUAAUGAGUUUAUUGUUGAUAUUUCAGAACAUAAAUAAGGUUCCAAUCCAUGUACAAUCCUCUGGAAAAAGAACUAGCUACCGACUUCAGGAUGUUUCCAUAAGCAAGGUCAUUAAUUCUUCACUUCUUAGGUUCUUAUGCACGUAUCAGUCUGCUGGAUAUGAUAUUCUGACCAAUAGUUGUUCUUAAUAUCAGGUCUCUUUAUCACGAAAUCUCCAUCAGUUGGUUCUUCUGUGCUCUGGAAAGCUGAUUAAUACUGACAACCUUUCUCUCAGUAAUGAUCUUUCUGUUGGGAUACAUUGUUUGCACCUUGAUACCUCUAUCUUUUUCAGCAGGUAAUGGCAUACCAAUUCCAUUGCCUUUUAAUGCCUUCUGUCCUUGUUCCGAUCCCAUCUUCUUCUUGUGGUCUUGUAUGAAAAUAAAAAUAGAUCCACAAAAGGUGCUAGAAUAACACAUUCACUGGCACCUAAAAGAUUGAACUCUGACACAUCCAAUUCACCAAUCACAACUAAUUAUUUGGCCAAGUGUAAAUAUCUUAGGCUUUUGUUGUUUCCCUAAAAUAUAGCAGCAGUAUUUCAGUACUAAAGUUUGUAAGGAUAUUGACUGCUGUGCUGUUCCUACUAAAAUUGAAUAAAGAUUUUUUUUAUUCUGUUUGUCUUAUCACCAAUAAAGGAAAAAUGAGCUACAUCAGGUGUCUCAACAAGCGUCAAGUAUUCAAGAUCUGGUCGAAGUUGCCCGUGCUUCCAUAUCUAUGAUGUCCAAACAAUGGUCAAAUGCUAUGAACUUAUUUCAUGAGAAAUUUAGUGCCUUGCCUUCUCUGCUUACUGCCCAUGGUAUGAUUGGUUUAUUUUGAAGCCAUAACCAUCAAGAAUCACAUACCUUUAUUUUUCUACGUUGGUCUAAGUUUUUGGCCGUUUACAGGGAUGGAAUCUAGCUCCGAGGAUGAGUUUAUGAGCCUUUUGUUUGGGACACAUACAAGUCCGGCUCUACAUCAAUUUCUAGUCAGCUCCCUUGGUGAAGCGGUAUUUAUUGCUAUUGCCAUUACUUGCAUACCUUCUUUUCUUAAAUAACCUGUCUAAAAUUGUUAUUUUUUAUAUGAAAGGGACUCAAGAGGAUAGCUAAGACUAUUGAAAGUGCUGGAAGAGAACUUCGUAUUGUUGUCAGUGAGCAUCUUCAGGUCAGCUACUACAUAAUGAUACCAGAGCAACAUAUUAUUGGUACUAUUGUCUGUAUUUUUGGUUCACUUCUAAUGGAUACUAUAGAGUUUGUUAGGCAGCUUCACGUCUUUCUGCUAUAAUUAGUUAAGUUGUUAGUGUUUUACUACUCCCUCCGUUCACCUUUGUAAGACCGUUUAGACAUUUAAGACAACACCCAAAACAGUUCAAUCUCAGCUGUCUAAAACGUCUUAUAAAAGUGAGCAGAGGGAGUAGUUAGGUGACUCAGUUAUUAAAAACAAAGUUAGUUGACUCAAACCAGGAAGAACUGUUAGUAUUGGUAGAAUACCACAGUCAUGUCUUCCUUUAUAUCACAACAUUAAAGUCGUAGCUCACUAAUUGGAGGUCAACCCAUCUGGUUUGGCCAGACUAAACAUGUGUUACACCUGCAACCUAUUUCAAGUUUCUGUAAUUGAAAUUGAGUUGCUUGCUAAUAUGUUCUUUAUUUAUAGCCUGCAGUCGAAAUUAUUUCAUUCAGACUUGCAGAACUGAGAGGCCUUGCGAGAUGGCGUUCAAGAUUUCAGAACAUUGGGUUAGAUGAAAAGCUUAUGGAUGGUGUAACUGAGAGGGUAGGGAUGCUAGUUGUGCAAGUUGAGCGCUUUUCAAGGGUUGCAGCUACUGUUCUUUAUCUGGUACACUUUUUUUCUUGGUUCAUGUUUUCUCAAAUUUUGUUGAGAAUUGGGACUUGUGUCAUCUUAAAAUGAGGCUCCUUCCUGAACAAGUGUGCAUAUCAUUUCCCUUUUUUUUUGCAUAUCCAGUUAUGGUUACUGAUGAUGAUGUACCUUUGGUAGUUUAUCAUGUAGUAACUUUCAUUGAUCCAUUAACUUUCCAGUUCCAAAAUUUCUUCAGCUGGGUUUUGAAGUGUGUUAAGAUAUUGUUAAGUGAACCAACUGAUCAAGUUCCAUCCACAAACAGGUUUAUGUCUUUCUUUCUUAUUGUCCUCUUCAUUCUCAUGUCAUGAAUUUUGUUAUUAACUAGCAGGGGAUUAUCUUCUGUAGUGAACUUGUGGUGAUUUUUCUGAAGUUUCUUCUUGGUAAGGAUCCAAUCAAGCAGUUACUUGAAACAGAUCAGAUAUUUGAGUGGGAUAUGUAAGUAGCAUGCCAGUUGUUGUUUUAUGUUUGCUAUUGAUUUAUUAGACUUUAUUUACACUAUCUGUAUAGUUUUGAAGAUUUUUGGUACCUAUUUGCAAGUUACUAUUCACCAUUUAUAAACAUAAGUGCAUGGUUGAUCUGGACACGGAUGGGUUGUACUGUUGUACUAUGGAAGUUUUCGUAGAUGCAGUUUUUGUACAUGGUUGUGUCUUGGCGUUGCUAACUGCAUGGUUUAUCUUUAAAGAAGAAACAUCAUUCCUGCAUGUAUGUACCUUUGUGGUCUGGACGUUUUUAGCAUUGCUUUCAUAGUUCGAAGAUUUAUGGUACCUAUUCCCAAGUUGUGAUGAUGCGUGGCUAACUUAUUUAAUUGUGUGCAACACACUUCUUCAGUGAUACUGCGAAACAUGUUGAGCAUCUAGUAGUUUUUGGAGGAUUUACAGACACAAAGUUUUUGGAAAGGAGUUUGGCCAAGCAGUUUAGCGAGUUGGAAGAAAGGUGAAUCAUCUAAUUGCUUCAAAUUAUUUGCCAGUACACGUGUCUCGACUCAAUGUACUGUCAGUCAAAUCUUUGUGUAUUCAGUUUCUUCAGACAGAAUAACUUUAAACUUGUUCCUUGUUACUUAAAAUAACAGUUCCUUCCUUUUGUGAAGCAGUUUUAUGCUAUGCUAACAACUCUAUAUCCCAUAUUUUUUAGCUUGAAGGAGGCUUUCUUGAUGCCAUUCACCACUGUAUCUUCAAAAAUACAUUGCCAAGGAUUGCUUCCUCUUUAUCCUGUUACAUCGUCCGAUGCCUUGUCAUCAACCAGUACUCCAGCAUCAAUUGCGUUCUAUAAGGUUUAUGUUCUCUUUGGUGAUUUCUUCCAACAAACUAAUGGUCCUGAUGUGAACAUACUCAUUGCUUAUUUCCAUGUUUUUCUUUAACUUAUUCUGUACAUGCUUUGCAUUGAGUCCGUGAUCUGUCACUUUUCAGAGUCCUAACUGAUUACUCAAAAUAGCAGGAUAAAGAUUCUCAGCAUAAUGCUUCUUCAUAUAGCUCGACUGACUACAUAUGCUUCAAGAUACCUGAUGGAUCGUUAAAUUUAAGAAAUUUCGUUGCUGUGAUAAAGGACUUCUGCAACUCAUGUAGUACCUCCAACACACCAUCACUUUCAGGUUUUCUGUUGCAUAUACCUGUAGAAUACGAGUGUGUUGAUCUGUCUCUUUACAAGGUAUUCCCUGUUACAAUUAUUGAGGCAAUACUUUGCUUUUGUAAAGCACUUUGCGUAUCUUAGAAAAGAAAACGGUUAUUCACAGGACAACCAGGUGGUUUUACUACUUAGUGGAAAGUCCAGCUCUGAAAGUGCCGGGAGAUCUUGGAUGGUUAUGCUGCAGACAGAGAACCUCUCUUUUUCACAGCUCUCAAGAACGUUCCCUGCAAAUUAUUACAAUCUCCAAGAAUUGGAGGUACGAAUUUACUUAAAUGAGAACAGUAGGGAGAAACCUACUGAAAUAAGUUAUACUACACAAAAAUAAAGUAGCCAUAUUAGUAGUAAUUAAUCGCUGCAACAAGAUAAACAAAAUUGCACUGGAUCUGUAAAUUGGUCCAUUGACAAGGAGAUGCUUGUUGAAGCUGACUUUACUUUUUUUGCUGGCAAAUGGUAAUAGCGCUAAUUUCCUGCCAUGAACAUGUAUAGGCGCUGGAACUCCAAUUGGAUACAGAUUAUGGAAAAGUUCGUAGCAUCCCUCACCCUUUGUCUACUCCGCUGGCAGUCAGUGGUAGGUCGAGUGUUUAUUUCUGCACAUGAUUUUUAGUUGGUAUUCAUUUCACAUAACGAGUAAUGUUUACAGCCUCAAGAGGAGUGGCUUGUGUCUUCUCAUCGCGGAGGCAUGCUUUGGUCUAUAUCCUUGAUGAGGACGAAGACGAGGAUGAAGAUGAAGAUUCUGAGAUGGAGUGACCAUGGUAACACCAGCAACUUCAGCUCGCCAUGUAGAAGAAAAGAUUGUGGAAUUGCACUAUCCUGUGCUGCAAACAGAGCAUGAGUAGCUGCCAGUCACAAUGAGCAACCUGCAGUCAUGAUCACCGGGAGACGUGUUUGAUCGCCCAGUUGCUGCAGGAAUUCCGUUGCUGCAGCUAAAAGGUGUUGGUACCGGCUUGGUCAGGUCUGAAACCCACAUUUCGGGUGUACAUCUGCAGAGUGAACUUAGGACGAUACUCUGUAAAUGGUGGUGUCGCAACAGAAAUGUUGUACACCGUACAACUUUGUGUACUGAACCAGCGACAAGUAAUAUGGAUCAGAGUACCUAGUUUUUGCUGUUAAUUGUGUGAAGUUGGUGUGUGUGUGUGUGUGUGUGUGUGUCAGUGUGUGUGUGUGUGUUGAUAAGUUAUUAUGCAUGGUUGAGCUUUUAUGUAACACCAGGACAGGACUGAAGCGAAGUCAUCUUGGCAUUUGCCAGUUCACUCGUUUCACAGCUUUGAGUUUUUUAUUUUUUGAGAAUCAUCUCAAAAGCGUACUUAGAACAAAGCGGACAUACAGUAGCCCAUGAGGUCGCGUUUGGCAUGGGCCUCGGCCCAAAACAAGGACGCCUGGUUUAGCCACGAUAGAAUAAUCUUUGUGUCCCCCUUUGCGACGCAACCAACUCGAAUUGCUCUCGGCCCAUUAUAAUAGCGCCUCCUGUCCGUUCUGCUUUCCCGCGGAGCCCCUCUCCCUCACCGCGUACAUCGUCGCCGAGUUCCGAUCCCCCCGUACGUAGAUCUCGAGAAAGGCGCCGCCCGGCCAUCGGUGACGACGAAUCAAUUCCCCGUCAGCGUGUCCAAUCAUGUCGUUGCCGAGUUCGGAUCUCCCCUUAGAUUUAGACCUAGAGAAAGGCGCCGCCGCCUGGCAGGCGGCGACAAAGGAGGAGAGCUGCCCGUGCUGAACCCUCGCAUGGUCAAGUACAUCAUCGCGAUGGUGAGUCUUUUGCUCUUCUCCCGCCUUCUCUUCCUUCUAGAUGAUCUACCCUGCAUCUGUUUCAGUUUCUUUCUGACAGUUAUUCAAUCAUGUCAUUAGUACUCCCUCCGGUCCUUUUUACUCUGCAUAUUAGGUUUGACCGAAGUCAAUCUCAUUCAACUUUGACCAAGUUUAUACAAAAAAUUAUAGACAUUCACAUAACAACACCAAUAUCAUUAGAUUCAUCUUAGAAUAUAUUUUCAUAUUAUAUUUAUUACAUAUUAUAGAUGCUAAUAAUUUCAUAUUAUAGAUGCUAAUAAUUUUCAUAUUAUAUUUAUUACAUAUUAUACUUAGCAAGGUUUGACUUUCGGCAAAUCCAAUGUGCAGAGUAAAAAGGACCGGAGGGAGUAUGUGUUGCUAGUCGUACGCACGCAGGUCACUGUGUCGGGUAUAAUUAUGCAUUGAUGCAUCCUAAUUUGUAAUGCUAGUCAAUUACUUUUAACUUACGAUUGUGUUGGUGUAAGCUCAAACUUCCCAGGGAACUAAUAAUGGUUAAAGUGGAUUGUUGAGAAGCCCACUCAUUGCCACCCCAAAGGAGAGAAACGAGUGAACUGAGUGGCAGAAUGAUCUCACAGCUAGUAUCAAGAGCCUAUAGAACAACUGCUUUUGAUUCAUCUUAAGUGUCUGUUUGCUGAUUUUGGCCAUUCUGAUUUGCUAAUGCUCGGUGUUGUUUUAGUGACGUGUUAACCUUUUCACCAUACUAACCAAGAAUAUAUUGUGACCUCUGGCUCCUGCUUGCCAUGCACUUCAUUGUUGAAUUGCAUACAAUUUAUCUCCUGAAUUUUUCUUUUGUGCUCAGAAACUAACGUUCUAUUAUCAUGCAUGCUGCUUGUCUCUCCUUUGUAGGAUGUGAUCAUAGUGCUGUAUUUGCUGUUUUCAUUUGGCCUGAUCAUAUGGACUACGAAGGUUUCCAACAACUCGUGGGAUGCAUGGCCGGUUGUUAUUAUCUCGUCGCUAGUCUGGAUGUUGUUACUCGGCGUGUAUCUUCCGCUUGCCAAGAAGUGUACACCACGAAGCGAUGAUGGUGAUCUUAGUACCAAACUACUAGUAGCAUCUUAGAAAUAAGCCAGUGAAGUGAAUAAGCGGCACCGUCUAGUUAAUAUUUUAAGUACCCGCGGUUCCCUGUUCGUGGUAAUGAACCGGUAGUUGCAUGAUGCCUGCGUUUAAUCUAGUUCUUGAGCUUUUGCACAACCUCCUGACAGUUGGAGCUGCUUCAAGAUUUGUGUAAAUUUCACUGAGUUAUUGUUUUGGGAGUGUAACUUAACGCUCUGAUGUCUAUGAUUGUACAUUGUUUAUUUCUUGUUCCACGUGAUUUUACUGGUAGAACUCUACUCAUUCUAUUGCGUUAGCACCAGCCAAUAGUAACUUGGUAAGGGACGAUGACCGCGCAUCCAUGUCUGGAUACUAGUUUGGCGAGGAGGGCACCAUGCUAUGGAGUAGAAGCCACGAGCUUCGAUCGCAAGUUCGUUCAGCUGAGUCUCGACUGGGACUAGUUUGGUGGUCAAUCGACUGACCCAAAAUUUAUUUUCAUAUCAUUGAGCUGGGCUAUCUGGGCUGCCUAAUGCUAGAUUGAGGGGGUGUUUGUUUCCAGGAACUUUUUUGUGUAGGGACUAGAAAAAGUCUCUCUUAGAGACUUUUUUACCAAACGGGGGGACUUUUUAGGGACUAAAUUAGGCAUUUGGGACUAAAUGAAGAAGACACUCAAAGAGUCUUUUUGGAACUUUUCCAACAAUGCCCCUCCAUGCACCCAUUGGCCCGCCACCCCAUGGUGUUGUCUGUUUGUUAUUUUUCUAUGUACUAGGGGCAACAUGGUCAUUUAAUAACCUCUAGAAAGGACUACGAACUUUUUAGUCUUUGGAAACAAACAGAGAGGGACUUUUUAGGGACUAGGGACUUUUUAGUUGAGACUAGAAAAAAGUCCUAGAACUAGAGAACCAAACACCACCUGAGACUAUUUUUAGUUGGUUGGUCAACAGUCAGUCCCUAUUGUAAAUAUAGAGAUACAUACUACAAAGUAGCAAAGACAACUACAAUUUUCAUUUCCAUCUUUUUCUUUCGGGACAAGUGAAUUCAUUAAUUAAGCAGCGGCCAUGUCUGCAUUAUAUAGGUCCGGAACCUCGUUCAGACAGGAACAAAGCCACACUGUAGUGCUUCUUUAUUCCACCAAAGUUUGCCAAACAGUGACUAACAUCAUUUUGUUCUCACCUAACAAGCUUAACUAAGAAUUCACCAUGUUUCCAAAGACGCGAAGUAAUCUUGCGGAUCACCAUCAUAUGCUCCGACCGGUCGCGACCACCUGAUCAGCUUUACCACUUCCGCAGUCUGUUUGGAUCACCAAAGGCAGCUCAGACCACUGGGUAGUGAGGGAGACACCUUCUGAACAUGCAGCAAGUUCAGACUCCAGCGGCGAUGCACACUGCCUUAGCUCACGGCAAGAUGAAAAAAUAAUUAUUGAGUAUCGUGAUUAUUAGGAUGUAUAGGAUAGACUAGAAUUUAUCUUUACCUUGUCUUAUACGUCUUGUACUAUAAGUUAAUCGUAUACUCCUAUAUACUCCCUCCAUCUCAAAAGUCUUGUCUUAAAUUUGUCUAGAUACGGAUGCGUGUAAAUACUAAAACGUGACUUGAUACAUUCAUAUUUAGACAAACCUAAGACAAGAAUUUUGAGACGGAGGGAGUAUUCGCCCAUGAAGCUCAAGCAAUACAUCGAAUAAUUUCAUCAAUCCCUCUUUCUUUUCCCUUCUUACAAUAUUCUUUCCACAUGGUAUAAGCCUAAGAGCAUACCCCUUAAACCGCGAAAGGUUUUCAGUUCGCGGAAACCGCGUUUUGAGGGUCGGUUUUAGCUGCGUCCGAACAGAUCCCUCAAACUUAAACAGUAAAACCGAAUAUUUGCUUAUAUUCUUUUUCCACGUCUUCUUCUUCCUCUCGCCCGUGUCCCUGGUCAGUAGCUUGCUCCCACGAAACCGACGGACAACACAUGAAGCGGCCAAAUACGGAGCCGCAGCCGGCCAAAUACGAAGCACAUGAAGCGGCCAAUCCAUGAGCUAGCUACCUCCUCCAUCGGGGUAGCCAGAGCUAGCUAGCUAGCUCAGCUUGAAUCGAUCCAGGAGCUAGCUCCGUCGCCGUAGCGAGAGACGCGGCCGGGGGACCGGGGCGGCGUGGACGGCGGACGCGGACGGGCUGCCUGUGUCCAGGGACGGGCGGGACGGUGUCUGGGGCGGCGCGGAUGGCGGACACGGAAGUUUCCGUGGUAGUUGGGCUCCCGCCAACUGCUUUCUCCCAAUACAGGGCACCGUAUAAGCGGACGCGGAAACUAUGUUUUUGCGGAUCGGGAGAAGUUUUUUACCGCACCCUUUAAAAAAACUAAAGAUUUAAGGUGUAUAAAGGGUCUGUUCGGACUAUUUUUUUCGCCCGAAACUGGAAACUGACGGUUAUUUUGCAGUUUGCUUGGAUAUAAGGGGUCUGCUAGAGAUGCUCUAAGGACAUCUCCAAGGCAGACCCUCAAACCGCUCGCAUACGUCUGGACCGUGAAAACCAGCAAAUGCAGGCCUUUAUCGGUCCACCGAGCAAUCCGGGUGUAUUUUUUCCGGCAAAUGCGAGACAAAUGUGGGACAGGUUUGCGGGAGUGCGGACAUCCAUCUGCCCAAUCAAAAGCCACCACGUAUUCCUCCUCUCAUCCGAAUGACGGAAGGCUACUGCUAAUUUUUAUAUAUGGCGGAAGCUGCUAUUCUUUAAUUAAGGGACAAUGCUAACUUUCGGACGUCCUGAUUUUAGCUAUAGAUCCGGAUGAUCCACAUGCAGCCUUUUCUAUUUCGCGAUUGCAUGUAGUCCGUUUUUUCUCCACAUGCAUGUGAUAAUUAGUGCUUCUUUUCCUCCAUCAUGUUCGUGCGUGGCAUUUGUUAGAAAGCUUAAUUACAUGCAUGCACGUGAGACGAAACUGAUGACAUCACUUUCUAAUAAUAAAGCACAGAUUGAGUCUCCGGAUUCACCGUCACAAUAUGCUUCUUUCCGUGAAUUUACGCUUUCAGCUAUAUUAUUUUCUAUAUACGAGGUGGUAUUAUUUUACCUGCGGUUGAGAUUAAAGAGGACCUGACCCAAAACUUAACCGCGUCUGUGUGGGCAUACGUUCGCACCAACCCAGCUUAAUUUGGGCCGAGCCGCCAGCCCAUCACUGCUUUCUCCCCGUUCGUACCUCCCUGUCCCUCACAAUCUGGACUAUUUUCUUGUCUUUCUUCAAAAAAGAAAAGAAAAAGAGUCGUACUCUCUUCCUAAAAAAAGAAAAACGACCCCCUCAAAAGAAAAACGAUCAGGACUCUCGCUUCCAGUCAAGUCGAACCCUCCUAAAAUACGCCGCUUGUGACGAGGAGAAAUAGCAGGCGAGUUGCUGGACGAGGAGACAUAUAAGCCACCGCGAACGGAAGAGCCACGCCAAGGCCGAUGGCGACGAAGCAACCAUCAUCAUCCUCCUCUCCCGCCCAGGCGUGAGAUCACGUCCUUGCACGUGCCGAGGCCCGAGGCCAACACCAACGAGGCCCUCGAUGUUGGGGAUCCCUUCUUCCCCGAGACCGCAUCACAGCACGAGGACCGCCAGCCGCACAGUGAGGCCAGAGCCAACCAAAGGCGGCGACCCGAUCAGCAAGAGCAGUACAGAAAAUUUGGUCCGUCCCUAUCCUCACAUGGAUUCGUGUACGAGAAGGAUUGGUCCAAUAUCACUCAUGUUUUUCCCGUGAUCAUACGUUCUUCUUCUUUUUCUGUGUGAUCGUGGUUUUGUUACAGCCGCAUCCAAUCUGGUCUCCCUCCCUGAUUAGAUCGGUUCCUCCUCGAUUAUAUAUCUCCACAAAUCAACACUUCCACAACUGUCUAGCCAUUGACGUCGUCUUUCUCACUGCAAACGAUGUCUCAAGUUAUCUUCCCAAGCUGUCUUUCUGUUGGAACGGAACCACGCGGCCGUCGGCCUUCGCUCUAGGUCGAGCUUCAUCUAGACCAGACCAACCCGUGUGAUUCCUCCGGCGACCUUCUCCGCCGCUCAGCGCCAUCUUCGUUGGAUGAUCCCGCUCCCGCCUGCGCGCGUCCUCACUGUUGCUACCGGCCAUCAUAAUCUCACGGCCUCCCAUCCCCACAAAGCAUCCUGGUACAGGAAGUGGGCAGCACACGGUCACAGAAGUGAGCGGCCUUUGGCGCAGAUCAACGGAGGCGCUGGUCGGGAGGGCGUGGUGUGGGCUCGCCAGAGGAGAUGGACGGGGAUGACCGGACGAGGACCGGCUGGUGUGGGGACGGCAGGGGAGGAGAGAGGGACGGCUGCUCUAUAUGUGCGCUGUUGAUGUGCUGCUGUUAGCUGCACCAUACUGCUGCUUCCCUGUUGUUUGUUGAGUGAUGUUGUUGUUAUUGCUGCUGCUAAUUUGAUGUGGAGGACAAGCAGGGAUCGACGGGGAGCGACCGGGCGAUUUAUCUGUGACCUAAAUUUGACAGGUCAAAUUAAGCUGGUCUGUUGGCUGCUGGCUGACUUCAUGUGAUGCUAUAGUGCGCUAUGAAGAAGUAGCGAGGUUUACAUACAGGACCAUGAACCUUUUCAUGUAUUGGAUUUUAUGGUAAAAUAUUGAUUCCUUGACCCCAUUCCUUACGGUUUAUUUGGCAAUUGAUAUUGGGCUAUGUGGAACUACAAUGUCUACCCGGUAAGUUCCCUUACCGCGGUAUCUUUUCUAAGUGCUAAAUCACUUAUUGCUAGCAAGAACUCCUUUUACCAGCAAAGCCAGUGUGCGAGUGUGUGCAGAGAUGUCUCAACAGGAGAAUAGCUCAGUCCUGAGCUAUACAUUUGAUGGAGCUGUCUACAUAAUUUGGACUUAAAAUUACAGUGUAGAAUUGCUUGCAUCUUGCUAAUUCAAAUUUACUUACUAUUUUUUAAACUCUAUGACAACUCUAAACAGCAUAUGUUGUACAAUGUUUUCCAAGAAGUUUAUUUGGAUUUGAUUGUGUCACUUCAAUGUGAGAUGGUGGUAAAUACUGGUCACUAAAUAAUAUAUCACAGUUGAUGUUUAACUUUUGUAAGCUAGAUCGCCUGUAUUGUACGUGUAAUUUCAGAGACAAUAACUAAUUUUCAUGCAUACACAUAUUUUUUCUAUUACAGCAUAUAGCAACUUAAAGGUUGUUGAGUGUUUUUUUCCUUUCUCUUUCCAUCUCACCUUUGGCGACGGACUUACAUGAAAGCUCUCGAACCUACGGUCAUGCCAGUUCCCCAACCCGCAUUUUCUUUCGCUGCAACGCACAACCGGUUUCUCAUCCCAUGUUUUCUCCCGGUGUAAUGCACGGGCUCUUUUGCUAGUCACUAUAGACUCCCCCAUAAUUCAAAAAAUUCAUAAUGUUUUGCAGGCCAAACCAUCGCUCCGAUCGAAAAAUUGCUUUCGCAUAAAAGAACCGUCGCGGCGAGAACUUCGAAACUAGAUCUCAUGUUGAUAUGUUCCGAUGACUUUUUUUCGGGUAAAAGUUACUACCACGCAUAGGAUAUACCAGUUAUCACGUAUAUGAUACAUCAGUUACCAUGAUGUUUACAGGCAAAUUCGGGCAUGAAAAUGACUUCUUCCAAGUUUGUCCCCACAUGCAAAUGCACUAAAAGUGCAGAAAAGUUAAUGUCAUCGUGGAUUCUUUUUAUUUUGAAAUUUUAAAAUAUUUUGUCGCUCGAACCACCUGUUUGAUCCAAAAUCUGUUUUCACAAAAAAAAACACCGCUGCGAGACCUUUGAAACUAGGUACCUUGUUGGCAUGUUCCGAAUACUUUUUUUUGUGUGCCAAAAGUUACCAUGCCUGGGGUAAAUAAGGUAUCAGCUCUGGUGUGCGUAUAUUACCAUUUAUUUACAUAAAUCCUACUUGAGUAUGUUUUCAACAACUCUUUUUCACGGGUCGAAAGUUAUCGAGGUAUUUAUACCUAAGUUAUCAGGUCUGGAAACGUACAUUAUCAUGUUAUUUACAGUACCAUGGGUGUUUUUCAACAACUUAUUCCCCGGUUAAAAUUACCCCUCGGUAUUUAUAUGCAAGUUAUAUAAUAGUAGACCUUGGCCUCGUACACUUUCUUAAGAAAAAAGAACACUAAAAAACCGAAUUUUCUGAAUUGAAACGAUGCAUUUGUACUCGAGCAUGUUCUAGCUGCCGCUGCUGAUGCUCAAUUGGCACUCUAAUUGGAACGAUGCACACUGAAUUGGUACUCUAAUUGAGCACCGAAUAGUUGUUGCCGCUGCUAACUUGCGAAGUGCAAUUUCUUCAUAGGCCAAAACUGCAAUUUCUUCAAAACUAGUGCUGUUACCAUGUUAUCUCAACAUGAGUGCAGAACAAAAUGAUAUGUAUAAGCAGCUGCAAGGAGCAAAGCAGAGGAUGGAUCCAAUGCAGAACACUCCUCUUUUCUUUUCUUCAGUGUACCAUAGGCCAUCUCUAGUGCGAGCAGGUUCUGCACCACCGGCAGCGGGAGCGCGUGCACGGACUGUAGCAGUAUGCCCCUCGGCGGCAGUAGCUUCUUUGCGGCAAGCAUGUCGAGAACUGCGUUGGCGCCGCACUGCUGCUGCCGCUCCUGCUUGGCCGGCGGGGACGGGGUGGCGCUUCUGAGCAGCGCGAUGAGCGGCCGCAGUGCCCCGGACGACGCUAUGCGAAUCCGCUUGUCCGGGUUGUGCUUGGCCAGCAGGCGGGGAUCCAUGGCGGCUCGCCGGAGCGAGUCCACGGACGUCGUCGGCGACUCGAGCUCGGCCACGAGCGAGCUCUAGGCCGUCCCUGCAUCGUCUCAUCAGACCGUAGCGAGCGUGGCACGCACUACUAGAAAUACCACUACUAAUGGCGCACCUAAUAUGGCCAUUAAUGGCGCAUCACUGGUGCGCCAUUGAUAGCACGCCAUUAGUAAUUUUUACUAAUGGCGCACCACCUGGUGCGCCAUUAGUAUCUGGUAUACUAAUGGCGCACCACCUGGUGCGCCAUUAGUAUAUGCGAGGGUGCGCCAUUAGUAUGCCUCCCAGGGGGCAUGUAUACCCAGGUGCUUUGGCAUACUAAUGGCGCACCACCUCUGGAUGCGCCAUUAGUAACCGCAGCAUACUAAUGGCGCACUACCCGGUGAUGCGCCAUUAGUAUGCACUGUCAUACUAAUGGCGCACUGUCGUGUGAUGCGCCAUUAGUAUGAAUAUUAGGUUUUUUUUUUAUUUUUUUAUUUUCUGUUUUUUGCACAGGUCACAAAAUGUAUAAUUUGACAAAAUAUAGACAGCACACAUCAACAAUAGAUUCAUCAAAUACAAUAGAAGAUUAGUCUUUGAAUACAAUUCAUCAUAUUAGUCUCCGAAUACAAUUCAUCAUAUUAGUCUCCGAAUUAAAAAGACCGAACAAAGAUAGAACAUUAUAUUACAAGUCUCGAGACCGCGAGUAGCGAGUUUGUCUUCGCAUUACAAGUCGAUAUCGAUCAUCUAAACUACCAUCACAUAGAAGAGAGCUGCGGUCAUCACGAUGAGCAUCAUCACGAUGAAACUCGUCUUCAUCCGGUUCCUCCAACGCUCCCUCCCCUCUCCCGCUAGAUAGCGGGCGUAUCUAGAUCCGGCCUCGGCCCUAGUGGCGUAUCAAUGUGAUCACAAGUAAUUCAGAGGCAUCACAAGUAAUUCAGAGCAUCACAAGGCAUUAGUAGUUCAGUACAUGAACAAGUUUUACAAACCCAUAUAAGAACAAGUGAAUUCUAGUCCCAUUGACACUCCUGGUUUUCUACAAACACCAAGUACUAAUGCCAGUUUGGUCAUUGCUAACUCUUGAUGUAACUGAUAUUUUGAUUCCUGAACCCCCGAUAUGCUGUUGUGGUUAAUCCUAAGAGAAGAUUUUGAACAAUGAGAAGUCCAUGGAUAUGUUGUGUUUCUGACUUCCGUUGAGGAUCAUGGAAAUUGGAUAUGUGAGUGGUCGGUGGACCAACUUUUCACUAAAAAUAACAGAAGAGUCCUUUGUUUUCCACUAAAAUUAUCAGUGUCAUCUGGUUUCAUGGCAAUAUUUAUCUAGCAUGUUCCGUAUUGAUUUCAUUGUAUUUUCUGUUCCAUCAUAUUUCAGUUAGUACUAAGGUUCUUUUUUUAGGGAACUCAGUUAGUACUCAGUUUACAGAAACGGUUCGAUGUCUAUCAUAUACAACCAUUUUCCCUGUUAUAAAAGACAUGAAAGAUCACAACAAUAUUGAUCUGAAAAGAACAGAAAAAAAAAGAGAAAUAGUAUGUAUGCAGUGGUGAUUCUACCUUGCUUUCUCAGCCGUGGGUGAUGAAGUGCCUCUGUUCUGUUGUGUCUGCAGUGGUAUGGAGAUGAAUGAAUUGGUAUUAGGUUCAAAUAUGAUCGAUGGAUACUCUAACUGUCCCAGAAAUAUUGAGUUUACUUGAUCAAAAUUUUAACUGGUAAAGAUAUAUAUCCUGUUAAAGAUAUAUAUCCUGUUCAUGCAUAUGUUCACUUGUGUUAUUAUUAUACAUAUGUAGACUGCGGCACGGCCCAUGCUGAAGAGUGCUUUGGUGAAAUGACCCAGAUGUCUCAUAGAGAAGGAACAUAGGUGUUAUAAAACAAUUAAGGGUUUGGUUUGAAGAAAUGUAUAAACAAACUACUCGUUUAGUUUUCAAACACAAAUGGUAAAUAUGUUGAGGCCCAAAAACUAAGUGUACCAACAACCUAAGCUAAAAAAGAUGAGCACAAGAUGUAUAAUAAUAACACAAGUGAUAAAUAACCUAAAAGAAGAUAAAUAACUUGAAGCACUAACAAACAACUUCAGCGGCACGAUUUUUGCAGAACCACAACUUCAGAGAUUUAUAACACAGAAGCACAACUUCAGAAGAAAGAGUAACACAUAACCCAAGUUUCCAAGUUAGAGGAGUUCGACAACGGAUCUGACAGAAAUGGCCCUGCGAUGUCAGUGAUGAUGUGGAGUCUCAAUUUACUCAAAAGACAGUGUUGUAACGACAGUAGCUGAAUCUGGUUGCAGAAAUACAAUUUUCUCCAUAAUGCGCAGUCAACAACUUAAUGAGUUCAGCAGAAGGUUUUAACUAAAUAUUCUGGAGGUGUGAGCAUCAACAAUAAAUCUUCUCCAAUGCUUUACACUUCCCAAUGACAAAACAAAGUUGUAUCUCUAGCCAAGUUUCAACAGGAGCCAACCUCAAAUCCUUCAACUUCUCACAACAGAAAAUCAUAUCUAUUCAGGUUGUGAGCGUUGUACGAGGAAUCAUAACCCACAACAGAACCCCAGAAGUUCUGCCUCGAUCUCAAAUUCAAACUUUUGGAGCUUCGUCCAUCCUGGACCGAACUUUAGGUGGCCAUACUAACUGACUCCCUUUCAGUUCUUUAUUACAAAAUUCUUCCAAUGAUCAUUCCAAUCCAAGGACCUCCAAUCAUUUUAUGUUGUCUACUCCCUCCGUCCCAAAUUACUUAUCGUAGAAAUGGAUACAAAUUAACGUAUCUAGAACUAAAAAUAAGUCUAGAUAUCCAGUAUCUAGAUAUCGAGUAUUGACUGACGGGUGGUAAUCACUACAAAAUGGAUAUGUGUCGUGUUGCUUUUUGUGUACGGAGUUCAAACCAAGAUGUUAUUUUCUGAAACAUUUUGUAAUGGUAAAGCACUUGACGAUCUACAUGCCUGAUUUGUUUCACUAAUUUUUUUCGAUUCUAAAAAAAUAAUUUUGGCGUCCCAGGAGGCAAAAAUCCUCUCUCGGGUGUAUGCAUGUUAUCUAAAUAAAAAACAAGGUGGAAGCAAAAAAGAAACGAUACUAACAUAUGCAUGGCGAAUCCUCUCUCGGGUGUAUGCAUGUUAUCUACAUUCUCGAAGGAAUCCGCGUGUGAAUUGCAGUGAGGAGAUGAUCGAAUCCGUUGGAGAAGAGGAAAUGAGAUANNNNNNNNNNNNNNNNNNNNNNNNNNNNNNNNNNNNNNNNNNNNNNNNNNNNNNNNNNNNNNNNNNNNNNNNNNNNNNNNNNNNNNNNNNNNNNNNNNNNNNNNNNNNNNNNNNNNNNNNNNNNNNNNNNNNNNNNNNNNNNNNNNNNNNNNNNNNNNNNNNNNNNNNNNNNNNNNNNNNNNNNNNNNNNNNNNNNNNNNNNNNNNNNNNNNNNNNNNNNNNNNNNNNNNNNNNNNNNNNNNNNNNNNNNNNNNNNNNNNNNNNNNNNNNNNNNNNNNNNNNNNNNNNNNNNNNNNNNNNNNNNNNNNNNNNNNNNNNNNNNNNNNNNNNNNNNNNNNNNNNNNNNNNNNNNNNNNNNNNNNNNNNNNNNNNNNNNNNNNNNNNNNNNNNNNNNNNNNNNNNNNNNNNNNNNNNNNNNNNNNNNNNNNNNNNNNNNNNNNNNNNNNNNNNNNNNNNNNNNNNNNNNNNNNNNNNNNNNNNNNNNNNNNNNNNNNNNNNNNNNNNNNNNNNNNNNNNNNNNNNNNNNNNNNNNNNNNNNNNNNNNNNNNNNNNNNNNNNNNNNNNNNNNNNNNNNNNNNNNNNNNNNNNNNNNNNNNNNNNNNNNNNNNNNNNNNNNNNNNNNNNNNNNNNNNNNNNNNNNNNNNNNNNNNNNNNNNNNNNNNNNNNNNNNNNNNNNNNNNNNNNNNNNNNNNNNNNNNNNNNNNNNNNNNNNNNNNNNNNNNNNNNNNNNNNNNNNNNNNNNNNNNNNNNNNNNNNNNNNNNNNNNNNNNNNNNNNNNNNNNNNNNNNNNNNNNNNNNNNNNNNNNNUUUUUUUAGCAUUUAAAAAGCUGUUUGAUACUUAUUUAUGUUUAAAUAUGUUCAAACUUGUUUAAAUAAUAACAGUAAUAUUUUUUUUAUAAGACAGUAGCAUUUAAAAAGCUGUUUGAUACUAAUUUUUUUUAUAAGACGGUGCGCGGGGUGCGGGGGGUCGGCGGCGGCGGUUGAGUAGGGGAAUCGAGGGUGCGGGGGGUCGGCGGCGGCGGCCGGUGGACUGGGGGGGUGCUCGGCGGCGAGGGGGCCGGAUCUGGCGAGGUGGGAUAGCGAUCGAGAUGGAGGGGGAUCGAGAUCGAGUGUCCAUGAAAUUUAAAAAUAUUCAUGAUAGUUCAAAAAGUACCCAUGAAAUACAAUCGAGAAAUGAAGGCUACGAUUUAAAUACAAUCGAUCUUAGCUAGCUAUCUGUUCACAAUCUUCUUGCCCUUCUUUUUCGCAAAUGGAGUUCUUCUGUGGAACGGACGUCCUUUAGGUAGGGUGGUCCUGCUUCUUCUUGUGGUGUAUGCUGCUACUUCAUCAUCGUCGUCAUGUUCGAUCCUCGGGUCGCCGUACUUGUCGAAGUCUUGCUCAUUGGCUACUCCAUCCAUUCCGAUGAUCUUCCUUUUGCCUCUCCUCACGACAACACGACUGGGCUUUGGCGGGUCGGUAAUGAAGAAGCAUUGGUCCACUUGGGAAGCCAGUACCCAUGGCUCAUUCUUCGCGGUGACGUUUGCGCCCGCGGUCUUGGAUUUGGCUUCGGGUAUAACCAUGGUGGUGAAAUACCGGUCUUCUUUUAUGACGUUCUUGGCCCAUCUGACACGGAACAUCGGGACCUUCUCUCCAGCAUAGCUCAGCUCCCAGAUCUCCUCGAUCCUUCCGUAGUAUCUGUCCUUGUCGUUACCGGUGUAGGAUUCCAUCGUUACCCUGGAGUUCUGAUAACCAUCGCUCUUCAUGUCCUUGGCCUCGGUGUAGAAUGUGUAGCCGUUGAUAUCGGGGUUCGGUUUCACCAUCGAACAGAUCCUUGCGUUUCCUCCACGGGUCAUCGUAGCAAAGCCACCUUCGAUGUCCCAUGAACACGGUUUUCGAAGACCCGGGAUCUCUAUCUAGCUGGCGAUACGUUGUGUCAUCCAUGCACCUUACGCAUCCAGAAAAUCCGUGGACUACCUGCCCCGCAAGAUAUUCGUAACCGAGAUAGUCGUGCACCGUCGUGAGCAGUGCGGCUCUCAUAGGGAAAUAUUCUUUCUCUGCGGCGUCCCACGUAUUGGCUGGCGUUUUCCACAGCGUGUCAAGCUCCUCUUUCAGCAGCCCCAGAUACAGAUUGAUGUCGUUCCCUGGUUGUUUCGGCCCUUCAAUUAGCAUACUCAUGUGAAUGUACUUCCUCUUCAUGCACAACCAGGGGGGAAGGUUGUACAUCCACACAAACACAGGCCAGGUGCUAUGUGUGCUUCUCUGGCUGCCAAACGGAUUGACUCCAUCGGUGCUCGCGCCCAGCACGAUGUUCCUUGGAUCGUUCCCAAAUUCCGAGUCUUCGAAGUUCAACGCUUGCCACUGGCUCGCAUCCUUAGGGUGACUCAGCAUCUUGUCUUUUUUAUCUAUCUCCGGAUCAUUUGCGUCAUCUUCCCGCUUCUUCUCCUCCCUAUCCGCGUGCCAACGCAGGAGCUUUGCUACCUUAGGGUCCGUGAAAUAGCGCUGCAGACGAGGAGUGAUCGGAAAGUACCACACCACUUUUCGAGGAGCUUUCUUCCUCUUCUUGUAUCGAGUGACGCCGCACACCGGACAUAUGGUAGACUCCGCGUGCUCGUCCCAAUAAAUGAUGCAAUUGUUCAUGCACACAUGGUAUUUCACGUGCGGUAAAUCCAGAGGACACACGAUUUUCUUCGCCUCCUCCAAACUGGUCGGGCACUUGUUCCCCUUGGGAAGACGUUCGUGCCAGAAUGACAUGUUCUCGUCGAAGCAUGCGUCGGUCAUUUUGUGUUUUACCUUCAUCUCCAGGGCCAUGAGCGUUACUUUCAGGCGGGUAUCCUCGGGCCUGCAUCCUUCAUACAAUGGAGUAACCGCGUCUAACUCAAGUUGAUCCAUCUUGGCUUUCUCUCGGGUGGCAGCUCUUGCGUUAUCCGUCUGCUUGAGAAGCAGCUCUUGAAUAUGAGGGUCCUGCACCCAGCCCAUCGAUGGUCCAGCGUCGUCUGCUCCGCCGGCAUCAUCAUCUUCAUGAUCAUGCCCGUCGCCUGCUCCGGCAUCUUCCUCAUCAUCAUGUCCUGCAUCUUCUACAUGAUGACUGUGUACAGCAUCACAGUCGUGAUCAUCUCCUGGGGAUUCUUCGUCUUCUCGCUCGCCCGAGCCGCGGUGGUUGUCUUGCUGCCCUUCCUCAUUUCUUGCCCGGCCCGCAUGGACGACUUCGUAGUCAUCUUCAUCACCUUGCCACCGAUAGCCAUCCAUGAAACCACGCAACAGCAGGUGGUCCCGCACCUGCCCGGAAUCCGGGUCCGCAAUAAGGCUCUUCAGCUUGCAUCUUCGACACGGACAUCUUAUCUCCGUCUCGUUCUUUUGAAGCAUCUCGGCCUUCGCGGACCUCAAAAACCUAUUCACGAUGCCUUCGGUCAUCGUGCGGACCAUGGUCGCCUGCGGGGUAGAGCAAAACGAUAUUUUAGAACCAAACAAAAAUUUCGCAUGACUUUCCCUAAAAAUAGGACCAAAAAGAAUGCUUAAUGCCAAAAUUCUCGCCGAAACGGAAAUGAAUCAACAUUCCGGCAAAAUAUUGGCAACUAUCGCAUAUCAAAUACCGGUACACCUCCAAACACAAACACAUAUGCAACACCACAAACAUAUGCAACACCACGAACAUACAUAGAUCUAGCUAGGCCGUAAAAAGUGCAUGUGCACAUUGUUGUAAGGAGAACAACCUAAAUAUAGCUUCCCCCCUUACUUACCUAUUAAAACAAGGUAAUUUAACCACUUAAUUUGAAUGAAUCUAUGGUGGAAAUGAGGUGAAAAAGAGGAGGCACCCGAGACAAGGAGGAGGUGGAGAGAAUGAAGUGGGGAGAAAGUGAGUGUGUGGGUAGGAGAGGCUGUCCCAAAUAUCUUGUUGCUGCCCACUUACUAAUGGCGCACCUCUUGCAUGAUGCGCCAUUAGUAGUUACAACUACUAAUGGCGCACUUAAGCAGGAUGCGCCAUUAGUAUGUUUGGAUAGGCGCACUAGUUCAAAAAAAAAUUCUAUACUAAUGGCGCACCCACUGCCUGGUGCGCCAUUAGUAGUUACAACUACUAAUGGCGCACUUGGGCAGGAUGCGCUAUUAGUAUGUUUGGAUAGGCGCACUAGUUCAAAAAAAAACAUUUCUAUACUAAUGGCGCACCUGCUGCCUGGUGCGCCAUUAGUAGUUACAACUACUAAUGGCGCACUUUGCCCGGAUGCGCCAUUAGUAUGUUUGGACAGGCGCACUAGUUAAAUUUUUUUUUUGAUACUAAUGGCGCACCCGUAGCAUGGUGCGCCAUUAGUAGUUUAAACUCUAAUGGCGCAUCAGAUUGUGGUGCGCCAUUAGUAUAUACUAAUGGCGCACCAUCUUUCUGGUGCGCCAUUAGUGUCAAUCCCAUCUAUAGCCCUUUUCCUAGUAGUGACGCGGUUCCUGCCGCCGUCCUGAGGUCUUCCCCGCCAUCGCUCCGACUCGCCCAUUACUGUUGCGUCACCUUUUGGGCCAUAGCGGUGCGGCACACGGUCCACUUCAUUGUCCACGCACGUCAAUUUUUGUGUGAUAUGCUUUGCACCACCUUCCUAGGCGCGGGAACGCCAACACCUUGCUGGUCUUCGUCACGCUGUGAGGUACUUCCUCGCGUACUUCGAGCACCGCCGUUGCACUCCUAACCUUGCCGCCGCCUUCUUCUCAGGUUGUCGCCACCGCUCUUCUUCCCGUUCCAGGGUGACUACCUUGACACUGGCCACCCUGAAUCGACAUCGACCACACGCCCCUCGCACGUCUACCUCGACCACAGCUACACCACCCUAUGCUCUUGGCCACAUCGACAUCAACACAAAGGGCUACCUCCAUGCUUGAGCAAUCUCGUCGGUUUCCACUCCAGGCAUAACUUUCACGAUGCAUUAACCGUUACGACCGUGGGAUAUGUCCGUUGGCUUGCAACCUUCGGAUUCUUUUCCAGUCUCACCGUCUGCGUCGCAAUCAUUAUGAUUGCGGGGGAGUGUUGAGUAUCGUGAUUAUUAGAAAGAACUACCUACACUACGUGCGGCAUGCGACCGGCUGACCGGCGCAUAUUACUGCGGAAAAAGUCCAUUUAAAACCCUGAAUUCAUUGAGGUUGAGCAAAAUGAACCCUCAAGCCGAAAUCCCAGUGAAUUGCAUCCUGAACUAUGCAAUUCCGGACUAAAUCGACCUUCGGAUCAUUUUCCAAACGGCGAUUGUCCAUGUGCGAAAGGAUGGCUGGGAUUGGUGGUAUUUAGGGCGCACACCUUGCUCCCGGGCUGGCCCGCUUUAGUUUUUUUCCUUCAAAAACAAUAAUUUCAAAGGGCGCACACCCUGCUCCCCGCUGGGCCGGCCUGCUUUAGUUUUUUUCUCGUUUGGGGGGAGGGGGUCCAACACAAGACCCGUUGUUGCUGAUCGAUACAACUAUCCACCAGGAGGCACCACAUGCGAUGUGUUCACUUCCCCCUUUUUCUUGCUUUUCUUCUUUCUUUUCUUUCCUUUUAUUUUUAUCUUUCAUUUUUAAUUUUCCCUUUUUUUCUUCAAUUCGUGAUUUUUUUCUGAAAUCGUCGAUUUUUUCUGAAAAUUUGCAUAUUAUUUUCAAACCCUGUCAUUUUUUUGAAUGCUCAAAUUAUUUUAAACAACAUAAAAACUCGUGGAAAUCUUAAUAGGAAAUAGCAAACAAAAAAACCCUCACAAACCAGUGGCCAUUUUAGUAUUCAACUUCUUUUUUUACAUUCGUGAAUAUAUUUACAAAACUUGUGAAAUUUUUCAAAUCCGUGAAUUUUUUUUAAAUCCACGAACUCUUUUUCAAGUUUACAAUUAUUUUUUCAAAAUCUGUGAACUUAUUUCCAAAUCCGUGGACUUUUCUUUUGAAAAUCCUUGAACUUCUUUUUAAAAUCGUAGAACUUUUUCUAAAGCUGUGAACCUUUUUUUACAAAAUUGGUGAACUCUUUCUUUCUUUUGAAAAUCUGGUUCAUGAAAUUCUUUCUUUUCGUUUGCUAUUUCCUACUAAGAUGGGCACCGGCUUUUGUAUAGUUCAAAAUAAUUUGAGCAUUCAAUUUUUUUAAAAAAAUUACAGGAUUUGAAAACAAUAUGCAAAUUUGAAAAAAAAGUUCAUUGAUUUCAUGAAUUUAAGAAAAAAACAGAAAAGAAAAAAUGAAAAAGGAAGAAGGAAAGAAAAGAAAGAAGAAAAGGAGGAAAAAGGUAGCAAGUGAACACAACGCAUGUGGUGUCCUGGUGGUAUGUUGCAUCGAUCAAUAACAAGGGGUAUUGUGGCGAACCAACCUGUGGUUAGAUGGUUAGAGGAACUGUGGUAUCCCCAGCCCACCAAGGUUUAAAUCAUGGUGCUCGCAUUUAUUCCUAAAUUUAUUUCAGGAUUUCCGGCGAUGCUCAUUCAGUGGGAGGAGACGUUCCCGUCGACGACGAGGCGCCUACGGACUUCGUAAAUCUCAAGAUGAUAUACCGACUCAGUCUUUAGAAGGUGCUCAUAGGGGUAGGGUGUGCGUGUGUGCGUUCAUAGGGGUGAGUAUAUGUGCAUGUAUAUGAGCGCAUGUGUCUGUAUUGGUGUUAAAAAAACAAGAGAUAUUGUGUUCGAGCCACCCCGUGCACUAUUUUUUUUGUUUUUAACGAAAAAAAUAUUGCGAGCCGGUCCAGCAGCGAGCAAGGGCGAUGGAAUUUUUUUGAACAGAAAAAUAAAGCGGGCCGGCCCAUCUGGCAGACGAAUUCCGGUUGACAUUUGUCAUGUCAUCAUUUUCAUGCUUUGGGUUUGAUUUAGACAGGGAUUGUAUAAUUCAUAAUGCAAUCGCCUAGGAUUUUGACUUGGAAUUCAUUUCGCCCGACCUCUACAAAUUCAAGGUUUUAAAUUGACUUUCUUAUACGGGUUUGCUAUUUAACAGUCAAGUGUUUUUCAAUUCGUCAACAUUCAAAUUUGUGUCCGUCCGUUCUUCUGCGGAGAUUCGUGCUAAUUUUCUUUUUUUCUUCGUACUGGCGCCCUGUUUCCUUCGGUUGGUUUUCUUUUACCGGGUUCGGUUUUUUUUUGUCUAAACCCGUAACCGCGCCCGUCCUGUUGUUUUUUUGUCCUGUUUGAAUUUUGGAGUGGGUGUCGUACCCUUUCGUUUGGUCAUUCUGUUUCGAUAAGGCCGAGGGAGAGAGCUCGAGCGGCGGCGGAGAGGAGGCGAUUCAUGGUGAUUCCGAGCUAUACCACCGUUGGAUUUUGAUUUCUCCUCCCUUUUCUCUUCGUUCCCCGGCUGCCGAGGUUGGUUCCCCUUGUCUCUCGCGUUCCCCUUGGUCCUGUAGUUCCAGAUCUAUGUGAGUUUCGUGGUCGUGGAUCGUCUGUUUGCUCUUGUUUGUGGAUCUGUGGUAGGUGCUGUCGUGUUGUUCUAGUCCACCCUUCGUAGUCUGCCCAAUUUCCCCCCUCCAUUUUGCUUGCCUGAGUUGUGUAGGAGCUUGUAGUUGCGGGUCCUAGGUAUGUAGUUGUGUAGGAGCUUGUAGUUGCGGGUUCUAGGAGCUUUGUGGUUGUUUUUCUCUCCUGACGUGUGCUAGGCUUUAGUUUUGUCUAUUUUGUGCGGUAGAUGGUGGAGGAACACGUACUGGUAGUUGCAGCGGUUGAUUUGCCUUUUAGUUGCAGUGUUGUAUGUCCCCUUGCUGUUAGAUGAUAGUUGUAGGUGGCUGGUCAUGAAUUCCCUCUGGUAACUGAGUUGUGUCUGAAUGUGUUUCAAGAAUCUCACUGAAUUUAAUGCUUGUUUUCCAGUGAAAUUUCCAGUUGAACUUCAGUUUCCUUUCUCUGUAUUUUGUAGUCUAUUAUUAGUGUACUUACCUUGUAACUUGCACUGUUAUAUGAGUGUACUAACUGUGUAAUUAUUAUGUAAUAUCAGUGUAUUUACGGUCUAAUAUAAGUGUAUUUACUUUGUUACUUGCACUAUAAGAUCAGUGCACUGUAGUAUCAGUGUACUUACACGGUAAAUCAUAGUGUAAUUUCAGUUUAAUUUUACUCUGCAAUCCUAGUGAUUUCAGCAUGUGGUUAGUUAGUCAUGCAAGUGGAUCUCUGUGUAUUGUAGCUCAAAAUUACUGUGGAUCUUACCCAUUUCAGUGUAACUACUGUAAUAUGUUUGCAGAACCUCCCAGUCCCUGCUUUUACAGUGUAAUACUCCCAUUUUACAAUGUAAUUCUCCCAUAUUUUUUGUAAUUACCGUGUAAUAUGUUCUAGUAGUAUGACUGUGUAAUUACAGUGUUAUACUCCAUAUUACAGUGUAAUUCUCAUAAUUCUCCCAUGUUUGUAAUUGUUGUGUAAUUUGUCCUAGUAGUACUUCCAAAUACUGCUAGAACAAAUAUUGCCCAUGUUUGUAAUUUACUAGAAUUUUUUUACAGUGUAGUACUUCCAAAUACUACUAGAAUUACAAUGUAACUUUCCUCCCAGAAUUACUGUGUAAUUUAUCAUCCAAUUACAAUGUAAUUUGUCGUAGCAAUGUUCUGUAAUUUUUCCUCUGAUUCCAGUGUAAAUCCUGAUUACAGUGUCCUGAGAUAUGCAAGUUUUUUCAGUGUAUUAUGCCAUGGAAUCACUGUGUAAUUUGUCCUAGUAGUUACACAGUAAUUUAGCCUAACUAGUGUAUAUGCCCAGAUUUACAGUGUAUUAUGCACUAGAAUCACUGUCUAGUAUGCUCAGGUUUACAGUGUAAUUAUGUCCAGAUUUACCUAUUUUUUUAGUGUAAUGUUCAUGCUUUAGCUCUGUAAUUUUCAGGUUUAGAUUUAUGGGAAAGCUUCGGAAAGUCUCCCACCAGGAUGUUCCGUUAGUGUCAUCUUUUGAGAGUGCGGAUCCCAUCCGUGAACCAUUCGUUCCUAAUGACUUUGCGAAAGAUGGAUCAUAUCUAAUGUCUACGGUAGUUAUUUUUCUGUUAUUUUUUUCUAGUUAUUUUCUUUUUGAGUUUAUGUAAUCAAUUUAUUUAUUUUGGCUUUGUUGUCUUUUCCCUUUUUUAGAAACUUUCUGGUGAUGAAGGAGCCUUUGACAAAGCUCUUUUCAAGUUCUAUGUUAAUCAAGUUGGUUAUCUGCUUUCUCUUUCUUGUUCUAGUUGUUCUAUGUUGUUGGUUAUUUUCUCUUGUUGAGGUGACUUUUGGCUUUAUAUUUUUUCAGAAAGUAAAAUCACUGAAGAGGAAGUUGUCAUCUGCUGGUAGAAGAAAUGUGGUUAGUCCUUUUCCUCUUGCUAUGAUGCUCUCGUUCAAUAUUAGCUUGUUCAUCUUAUUAUUUACCUUUUUAGUGCACUUCUUUGAUAUCUAUUUCCUUUUUGUUUGUUGUAGAGGCAGAAAUGGUCUACUGAUUUCUCGACUUGUCUGACCUUCAUCAGAUAUUUCUGGAAAGUUUUUCUCUGGGGCAGUUGAUGGCAUGUGUGAUCGGCAUAAGGCUGUAAUCCAGACCUAUGGCAUGGGGCGUCUUCUUAAUUUUGUUAGGACCGAGGUUGCUCUUAGGCUAGUUGAGUGGCUUGCCAGUAGGUUUGACGUACCUGCUUCUGAGUUCCAGUUAAAAAAGAAGUUCAUCCCAAUCACCAAAUAUGACAUUCACAAUAUCCUUGACCUCCCAGUAGAUGGUGAGCCACUUCUUUGUGAUCCCGAGUCAGGCCGUGAUUUUGUCCUCUCUCAUUUCAAUCUGUCAAGUAUUCCUCCAGUUUCUUUCUUUGCCAACAAGCUGAAAUCUUCUGAAGUUGAGUUGCCUGACGACGGCAUUUUCAUAUGCUUCAUGAUUGUUGCUUUCUCCUCAUUUCUAUGUCCAAACUCUAGCCUCAGUCCUAGUCCAAAGUAUCUCAUAUCAAGGAUUGUCGCUCUGUUUGCAAGCUCGAUCUGUCGCAAUUUGUUUAUGAGUGGUUGUUGUCUAGUAUUAAGAAAUUCAAGGAUUCUACUAAAGUUGCUUCGAAGAGAUCUUUGACAUUUAGUGGCUGCCAUUACGCCUUCACUGUAAGUUUUUGUCAUAUGUAGCUCAUUCCACUGAUUGUGUAGUGUCCUUUUUCUUUCUUUUUUUAACCUCGUUUGUGUUUGUUGUUAUAGGUUUCUUACCUUGAUCAUCUCAAUUUCGGUCCCCACUCUGUCCCUGAUGUCAAGUCUCGUCUACUAGCAUGGAGAGGUAACAAAGUCAAGCAGUUUGCAGAGCUUGAUAGAAACAAUAGCCGCUCUUAUGGGAAGAGGCCACUGAAGGCUUUUUGUCCUACAGUUCAUUUGCAGGUAUUUGUUUUUGUAUUGUUCAUUUUCUUUAUUGCUUUUGGUUAUGUUUUUAAUUUCCUUUUGGUGUGUGUAAACUUGUUUCUAUUUUUGUAGGAGCGUGUUGAUAAAUCUACAACAAGUAAGGAUGUUGAAUUUCCUCCUCGCAAUGCCUUGUUUGCAGUGACUGUUCUGAAUUCUUUUGGCCCUCGGUUUGGCUCCAAGGUACUUGAUAUGUGUAUAUUUUCAUAUGUAGUGUUUUCAUAUAUGUAGUAAUCAGUGUUUACUUUGGCUUUUUUGCAUUUUUUAUUACUUGUCUCAUUUCUUGGUUGUUUAUUUUAUUCAGACUGCUCCUCAAUAGGAACAAAGACAAACCCAAGAUAUUUGUUGAUUGGCCAGAGUCUCUUAUUAUUGAGGUGUUGGAAUGUUUGUCCCGGUGCCCUUUGCACACAAACACUGCUCCUGCAACAAAAGUUUCUGUCAGCGAGGAUAUUUCACAGAAUAAAUUCUCUUUUGGUUAGUUGCAUUUUUCCCUUGUAUUUUUGCUUUCUCAUUUUAUGUAUUCAUUUUGACUUUCAUUAGUUUAGUUUUUGUCUCUUUGUUUACUUUAUCUCAUUUUUGUUGCUUUGUUUCGAGAUAUUGUGUAGGCAAUAAGUCUGUUUCUAUUAAGACCGUUAUUCCUGAUAAGAAACGUGCAAGCAUUAAGGAUAUUCCAUCCAGUGAAGUACAUGUAGAGAUUCCAAAUAUAGGCCAGGCUACUCCUAAUGCUGCUCGUGAUGUUACUGAUGGUGGUAUUCACAAUCCAGUGUUAAUCUCUAGUACUUCUACAGCUCAUAAAGCGCAUCAGGUUCUUUUUCCCUUUUAGUCAUUUUUUAUGGUUCUUGAUAGUUCCAGUGUUAAUCGUUUUCAACUAAUUGUUUUGUCCCCUUUGUUUUGGUAGAGUGUGUCAAAUCAAGACCCAGUCCCUUCCUUGUCUAUUUUCGGUGAAGCUAACGCUGAAGCUGGUACUUCAAAGGAUAUGUUCUCAACAAGAGCAGAUUCAUCUCAUGGUAUUUUUGGUUUUAAUUUAUUUGCCUCUAUCCUUUGUCCUCUGCUUUUCCUUUUCGAAUUGAUUGUUUAUCUUCUUGUGUUUAUUAUUUUCUUUUUGUAGGUUAUUUUCCUUCAGCAACUGGAUGUGCUAUUCCUGCCGUUGGUUCUAGCAUAUUGGAAUCAGGUAUUCACUAUGUAAUUUGCCCAUAGUUUUCAGUGUAAUUUAACAUAGGAUCACUGUGUAAUUCUUCUUCUUGUUUCAGUGUGAGUCAAUACAGAAUUACUAUGAAAUUCAUCCUGUAGUUUCAAUGUAACUCAUUGUAGAAUUACUGUGUAACCUGUAGUUUCAGUAAUUAUAUCUAGAGUUACUGUGUAAUUCUUCUCGUAGCUUCAGUAUAAUUCACUAUAUAAUUACUGUGUAAUUCAUCCUGUAGUUUUAGUGUAUUUAUGCAAGUUACUGUCUAAUUGUAAAGUUUUCCGGCUAUGUAAUUCCGUGACUUUUUUAUAUGAGCCAUGAUUCCAGUGUAAGUUCCCUAGAUUUCACGAUGGUUUAUAUAUGUAUUUAGAGUGUACUUUGUGUAAACCAGGUCAGGGUUUUGCCUGACCCGUUUUUGCCGAAAUACAGAAAAUAAAGUGGCUGGUGGGAGGGUUUUUUGGGACAUACAGGUGUCAUUUUCAUUUUCUACGAAAUUUGAAUGUUGUCAAAUUGAAAAUCAGUCGAAUGUCAAAUAGACAGUCCCUUCUUAUAUUACUACCCCGCGAAAUAGGAUUCCGAUGUUUAUCCCAAAAAAAAGGUGUCCUACCUCAACGCGGUUCGGCGCCGCAUCCAAGUCCAAUUGCUCUCCCUCAUAAAAGAGAAACUCCAAUUGCUCUCAGCCUAUAACGAUAGCGCCUCCCGUCGGUUCUGCUAUCCCGUGAACCCUAAAAGGCUUGUGCCGCCGCCGCGAAGCCCCUCUCCUAGUUCCUGUCAUCGCCGAGUUCCUGUCCUCCUGUAGAUCUCGAGAAAGGCGCCGCCGGGCCAGCGGUGACAACGAAUCAAUUCGCCGUCAGCGUGUCCAUGUCGUCGCCGAGUUCCGAUCUUCCCUUAGAUUUAGAUCUAGAGAAAGGCGCCGCCGGGCCGGCGGCGACAAAGGACGAGGAGCUGCCCGUGCUGAACCCUCACGUGGUCAAGUAUAUCAUCGCGCUGGUGAGUCUUUUGCUCCUCCCCACCUUCUCUUGCUUGUUUCUAGAUCUACCCAGCAUAGUUCCCCAUCAGUUUCAGCUUCUUUCUGACGGUUAUGCACCAUGUCAUUGGUAUGUGUUGCUAGUUGUAGGCAGGUCAUCGUGUCGGGUAUACUUAUGUAUUGAUGCAUUCUACUAUUUCCUCUGUAAACGUGUUACAUUUGUUUACAGAGGUAGUAAUUUCUAAUGCUAGUUAAUUGGUGUAAGCUCAAACUUUACAGUGAACUAAUAAUGGUUACAUUGGAUUGUUAAAAUGCCCACUUAUUGCCACCCCAGUGGAAAGAAACGAAGCAUAUGGUUUGGCCAUGACUAAUCUUUGUGCCGUACUAAAGUAUUGAGAAGAAUCCUAUCUUUGUGCUUGAUAUAUACAACUGUUUUUGACAACAAUCUCACAGCUAGUAUCAAAAGCCUAUAUAACAAGAGCUUCCCAACACAUUCACCUUAAGUAUCUGUCUGCUGAUUUUGGCCAUUCUGAGUUGCUAAUGCUUGGUGCUUUAGUGACAUGUUAACCUUUUCAUUUCUAAUCAAGAAUAUGUUGUGACCUGUAGCUUCUGCUUGUCGUGCUGUUCAUCGUUGAAUUCCAACAAUUCAUCUUGUAAAUUUUUCUUUUGUGCUUAGAAACUAACUUUUUAUUAUUCUGCCUGCUGCUUGUGUAUGCUUUGUAGGAUUUGAUCAUAAUGAUGUAUUUGCUGCUUACCACUGGCCUGAUCGCAUGGACUAUGAAGGUUUCCAACAACCCGUGGGAUGCAUGGCCGGUUGUUAUUAUCGUGUGGCUAUUCUGGAUGUUGUUACUCUGUGCGCAUCUUCAGCUUGCCAAGUUUGCCAAGAAGCGUACACUAGGAAGCGAUGAUUGUGAUCUUAGUACCAAACUACUGGCAUCUAAGAAAUAGGCCAACGAGUGGGUUUUGCGAAUAAGGGGCACCGUUUAUGGUUAAUAUCUGUAGUAGCUUCAAGAUUUGGGUGAAUUUCAUUUUGAGUGAUUGUAUUGAGAGUGUGACUUAACGCUCUGAUGGCUAUGAUUGUACAACAUUUAUUUCUUGUUCCACGUGUGUUUAGACUCCCUCUGAUCCAUAUUAAUUUAGGUUUGUCUAGUACAGCUUUGUUUGUACUAGACCAGCGUGUCAAUUAAUAUGGAUUGAAGGGAGUAGGGGAUAAUGUCCAAGAUACAUAGGGAAAAAUGAACAAUGUUGAAUUUUUCAAUAAUUUAAUUUCUAGUGCCUAAAUUAGUAAAAUCCAAGGAUGGUCAGAGAGGAAUAGCUUGUGGAGGGAAAUAUUGCUCAAAUUAGUUGUACAGGCGAUACCAACAUAUAGUAUGAGCUGCUUCUGUCUGAAGAAAAAAGUAUGCAAGGGACCACGCUGUCCAAACUAUGGAAGCCAUCCAAUGCGGGCUUUGUAUUGGUCCGCGACGCGGUACAGACGUGUUUUCUCCUACAAACUGGAGACAGACAUGGGAUAGGUUUGCGGGAGUCCGGACCGCUGUCACGCCCGUUUCUCCCCCAUCCCCGCGUGCUUCCCAUCGGCCGCCAAUUGCCCGCAGUCAUGUUGCUGUAGAGCGUGCCGCUCCACAUUGAAGGCAUUUGUCGACGAGGUGGCGGCCAAUAUUGACUGGGGUUUUCGGGGAAGCAAACCCCAGUCAACACUUCCACAACUGUCUAGCCAUUGACGUCGUCUUUCUCACUGCAAACGAUGUCUCAAGUUAUCUUCCCAAGCUGUCUUUCCGUUGGAACGGAACCACGCGGCCGUCGGCCUUCGCUCUAGGUCGAGCUUCAUCUAGACCAGACCAACCCGUGUGAUUCCUCCGGCGACCUUCUCCGCCGCUCAGCGCCAUCUUCAUUGGAUGAUCCCGCUCCCGCCUGCACGCGUCCUCACUGUUGCUACCGGCCAUCAUAAUCUCACGGCCUCCCAUCCCCACAAAGCAUCCUGGUACAGGAAGUGGGCAGCACACGGUCACAGAAGUGAGUGGCCUUUGGCGCAGAUCAACGGAGGCGCUGGUCGGGAGGGCGUGGUGUGGGCUCGCCAGAGGAGAUGGACGGGGAUGACCGGACGAGGACCGGCUGGUGUGGGGACGGCAGGGCAGGAGAGAGGGACGGCUGCUCUAUAUGUGCGCUGUUGAUGUGCUGCUGUUAGCUGCACCAUACUGCUGCUUCCCUGUUGUUUGUUGAGUGAUGUUGUUGUUAUUGCUGCUGCUAAUUUGAUGUGGAGGACGAGCAGGGAUCGACGGGGAGCGACCGGGCGAUUUAUCUGUGACCUAAAUUUGACAGGUCAAAUUAAGCUGGUCUGUUGGCUGCUGGCUGACUUCAUGUGAUGCUAUAGUGCGCUAUGAAGAAGUAGCGAGGUUUACAUACAGGACCAUGAACCUUUUCAUGUAUUGGAUUUUAUGGUAAAAUAUUGAUUCCUUGACCCCAUUCCUUACGGUUUAUUGGGCAAUUGAUAUUGGGCUAUGUGGAACUACAAUGUCUACUCGGUAAGUUCCGCUACCGCGGUAUCUUUUCUAAGUGCUAAAUCACUUAUUGCUAGCAAGAACUCCUUUUACCAGCAAAGCCAGUGUGCGAGUGUGUGCAGAGAUGUCUCAACAGGAGAAUAGCUCAGUCCUGAGCUAUACAUUUGAUGGAGCUGUCUACAUAAUUUGGACUUAAAAUUACAGUGUAGAAUUGCUUGCAUCUUGCUAAUUCAAAUUUACUUACUAUUUUUUAAACUCUAUGACAACUCUAAACAGCAUAUGUUGUACAAUGUUUUCCAAGAAGUUUAUUUGGAUUUGAUUGUGUCAUUUCAAUGUGAGAUGGUGGUAAAUACUGGUCACUAAAUAAUAUAUCACAGUUGAUGUUUAACUUUUGUAAGCUAGAUCGCCUGUAUUGUAUGUGUAAUUUCAGAGACAAUAACUAAUUGUCAUGCAUACACAUAUUUUUUCUAUUACAGCAUAUAGCAACUUAAAGGUUGUUGAGUGUUUUUUUCCUUUCUCUUUCCAUCUCACCUUUGGCGACGGACUUCCAUGAAAGCUCUCGAACCUACGGUCAUGCCAGUUCCCCAACCCGCAUUUUCUUUCGCUGCAACGCACAACCGGUUUCUCAUCCCAUGUUUUCUCCCGGUGUAAUGCACGGGCUCUUUUGCUAGUCACUAUAGAUUCCCCCAUAAUUCAAAAAAUUCAUAAUGUUUUGCAGGCCAAACCAUCGCUCCGAUCGAAAAAUUGCUUUCGCAUAAAAGAACCGCCGCGGCGAGAACUUCGAAACUAGAUCUCAUGUUGAUAUGUUCCGACGACUUUUUUUCGGGUAAAAGUUACUACCACGCAUAGGAUAUACCAGUUAUCACGUAUAUGAUACAUCAGUUACCAUGAUGUUUACAGGCAAAUUCGGGCAUGAAAAUGACUUCUUCCAAGUUUGUCCCCACAUGCAAAUGCACUAAAAGUGCAGAAAAGUUAAUGUCAUCGUGGAUUCUUUUUGUUUUGAAAUUUUAAAAUGUUUUGUCGCUCGAACCACCUGUUUGAUCCAAAAUCUGUUUUCACAAAAAAAAACACCGCUGCGAGACCUUUGAAACUAGGUACAUUGUUGGCAUGUUCCGAAUACUUUUUUUUGUGUGCCAAAAGUUACCAUGCCUGGGGUAAAUAAGGUAUCAGCUCUGGUGUGCGUAUAUUACCAUUUAUUUACAUAAAUCCUACUUGAGUAUGUUUUCAACAACUCUUUUUCACGGGUCGAAAGUUAUCGAGGUAUUUAUACCUAAGUUAUCAGGUCUGAAAACGUACAUUAUCAUGUUAUUUACAGUACCAUGGGUGUUUUUCAACAACUUAUUCCCCGGUUAAAAUUACCCCUCGGUAUUUAUAUGCAAGUUAUAUAAUAGUAGACCUUGGCCUCGUACACUUUCUUCAGAAAAAAGAACACUAAAAAACCGAAUUUUCUCAAUUGAAACGAUGCAUUUGUACUCGAGCAUGUUCUAGCUGCCGCUGCUGAUGCUCAAUUGGCACUCUAAUUGGAACGAUGCACACUGAAUUGGUACUCUAAUUGAGCACCGAAUAGUUGUUGCCGUUGCUAACUUGCGAAGUGCAAUUUCUUCAUAGGCCAAAACUGCAAUUUCUUCAAAACUAGUGCUGUUACCAUGUUAUCUCAACAUGAGUGCAGAACAAAAUGAUAUGUAUAAGCAGCUGCAAGGAGCAAAGCAGAGGAUGGAUCCAAUGCAGAACACUCCUCUUUUCUUUUCUUCAGUGUACCAUAGGCCAUCUCUAGUGCGAGCAGGUUCUGCACCACCGGCAGCGGGAGCGCGUGCACGGACUGUAGCAGUAUGCCCCUCGGCGGCAGUAGCUUCUUUGCGGCAAGCAUGUCGAGAACUGCGUUGGCGCCGCACUACUGCUGCCGCUCCUGCUUGGCCGGCGGGGACGGGGUGGCGCUUCUGAGCAGCGCGAUGAGCGGCCGCAGUGCCCCGGACGACGCUAUGCGAAUCCGCUUGUCCGGGUUGUGCUUGGCCAGCAGGCGGGGAUCCAUGGCGGCUCGCCGGAGCGAGUCCACGGACGUCGUCGGCGACUCGAGCUCGGCCACGAGCGAGCUCUAGGCCGUCCCUGCAUCGUCUUAUCAGACCGUAGCGAGCGUGGCACGCGGUUCCUGCCGCCGUCCUGAGGUCUUCCCCGCCAUCGCUCCGACUCGCCCAUUACUGUUGCGUCGCCUUUUGGGCCAUAGCGGUGCGGCACACGGUCCACUUCAUUGUCCACGCACGUCAAUUUUUGUGUGAUAUGCUUUGCACCACCUUCCUAGGCGCGGGAACGCCAACACCUUGCUGGUCUUCGUCACGCUGUCAGGUACUUCCUCGCGUACUUCGAGCACCGCCGUUGCACUCCUAACCUUGCCGCCGCCUUCUUCUCAGGUUGUCGCCACCGCUCUUCUUCCCGUUCCAGGGUGACUACCUUGACACUGGCCACCCUGACUCGACAUCGACCACACGCCCCUCGCACGUCUACCUCGACCAUAGCUACACCACCCUAUGCUCUUGGCCACAUCGACAUCAACACAAAGGGCUACCGCCAUGCUUGAGCAAUCUCGUCGGUUUCCACUCCAGGCAUAACUUUCACGAUGCAUUAACCGUUACGACCGUGGGAUAUGUCCGUUGGCUUGCAACCUUCGGAUUCUUUUCCAGUCUCACCGUCUGCGUCGCUAUCAUUAUGAUUGCGGGGGAGUGUUGAGUAUCGUGAUUAUUAGAAAGUACUACCUAUACUACGUGCGGCAUGCGACCGGCUGACCGACGCAUAUUACUGCGGAAAAAGUCCAUUUAAAACCCUGAAUUCAUUGAGGUUGAGCAAAAUGAACCCUCAAGCCGAAAUCCCAGUGAAUUGCAUCCUGAACUAUGCAAUUCCGGACUAAAUCGACCUUCGGAUCUUUUUCCAAACGGCGAUUGUCCAUGUGUGAAAGGAUGGCUGGGAUUGGUGGUAUUUAGGGCGCACACCUUGCUCCCGGGCUGGCCCGCUUUAGUUUUUUUCCUUCAAAAACAAUAAUUUCAAAGGGCGCACACCCUGCUCCCCGCUGGGCCGGCCUGCUUUAGUUUUUUUCUCGUUUGGGGGGAGGGGGUCCAACACAAGACCCGUUGUUGCUGAUCGAUACAACUAUCCACCAGGAGGCACCACAUGCGAUGUGUUCACUUCCCCCUUUUUCUUGCUUUUCUUCUUUCUUUUCUUUCCUUUUAUUUUUAUCUUUCAUUUUUAAUUUUCCCUUUUUUUCUUCAAUUCGUGAUUUUUUUCUGAAAUCGUCGAUUUUUUCUGAAAAUUUGCAUAUUAUUUUCAAACCCUGUCAUUUUUUUGAAUGCUCAAAUUAUUUUAAACAACAUAAAAACUCGUGGAAAUCUUAAUAGGAAAUAGCAAACAAAAAAACCCUCACAAACCAGUGGCCAUUUUAGUAUUCAACUUCUUUUUUACAUUCGUGAAUAUAUUUACAAAACUUGUGAACUUUUUCAAAUCCGUGAAUUUUUUUUAAAUCCACGAACUCUUUUUCAAGUUUACAAUUAUUUUUUCAAAAUCUGUGAACUUAUUUCCAAAUCCGUGGACUUUUCUUUUGAAAAUCCUUGAACUUCUUUUUAAAAUCGUAGAACUUUUUCUAAAGCUGUGAACCUUUUUUUACAAAAUUGGUGAACUCUUUCUUUCUUUUGAAAAUCUGGUUCAUGAAAUUCUUUCUUUUCGUUUGCUAUUUCCUACUAAGAUGGGCACCGGCUUUUGUAUAGUUCAAAAUAAUUUGAGCAUUCAAUUUUUUUAAAAAAAUUACAGGAUUUGAAAACAAUAUGCAAAUUCGAAAAAAAAGUUCAUUGAUUUCAUGAAUUUANNNNNNNNNNNNNNNNNNNNNNNNNNNNNNNNNNNNNNNNNNNNNNNNNNNNNNNNNNNNNNNNNNNNNNNNNNNNNNNNNNNNNNNNNNNNNNNNNNNNGUGGAACAUGUGGGAGCCAACAUGGGUAUCCAGAUCCCGCUGUUGGUUAUUGACCGGAGAGUCAUCUCGGUCAUGUCUGCAUGUCUCCCGAACCCGUAGGGUCUACACACUUAAGGUUCGGUGACGCUAGGGUUAUAGAGAUAUUAGUAUGCGGUAACCCGAAAGUUGUUCGGAGUCCCGGAUGAGAUCCCGGACGUCACGAGGAGUUCUGGAAUGGUCCGGAGGUAAAGAAUUAUAUAUAGGAAGUGCUAUUUCGGCCAUCGGGACAAGUUUCGGGGUCACCGGUAUUGUACCGGGACCACCGGAAGGGUCCCGGGGGUCCACCGGGUGGGGCCACCUGCCCCGGGGGCCACAUGGGCUGUAGGGGGUGCGCCUUGGCCUAUAUGGGCCAAGGGCACCAGCCCCUAGAGGCCCAUGCGCCAAAGGGACAAGAGGAGGGGAGAGUCCUAAAGGGGGAAGGCACCUCCGAGGUGCCUUGGGGACGAUGGACUCCUCCCCCCCUUGGCCGCACCCUUCCUUGGAGGAAGGGGCAAGGCUGCGCCCUCCCCCUCUCCCUUGGCCCUAUAUAUAGUGGGGGGAAGGGAGGGCAACCAUACCUAAGCCCUGGCGCCUCCCUCUCCCUCCCAUGACACAUCUCCCUCCUCCCGCAGCGCUUAGCGAAGCCCUGUUGGAAUCCUGCUACUUCCACCACCACGCCGUCGUGCUGUUGGAUCUCCAUCAACCUCUCCUCCCCCCUUGCUGGAUCAAGAAGGAGGAGACGUCGCUGCUCCGUACGUGUGUUGAACGCGGAGGUGCCGUCCGUUCUCUUGAUUUGGAUCACGACGAGUACGACUCCAUCAACCCCGUUCUCUUGAACGCUUCCACGCGCGAUCUACAAGGGUAUGUAGAUCCACUCCUCCCUCGUUGCUAGAUGACUCCAUAGAUUGAUCUUGGUGACACGUAGGAAAAUUUUGAAUUAUUGCUACGUUCCCCAACACUAAAUGCAUCAGAUUUAGGAAAAAGUUAGAACAUCUUACAUUUGUUAACGGAAGGACUAGUUGCUUAUGUCAAAUGCAUAUAUAACAAACACACGCAUGCACUCGUCCACACGCAGGGAGAGAGAGAUAGGGAGAGAUAGAGAUAGAGAUGCUUGUCAGUAAGAGUAUCACACUCACAUUUCAGGCUACCACACAAGGAUGUGGAUACACCCUCACACUACAUGCUCCCAGGCGUCGACCGUGCAGCUGCACCCAUAGCUCACAUCGCGCGAUCCUAUCCCCCGAACACCCCUCAAACCGUCACUCUGCACGACCUCCGGUUGGAAUCGCUGGUGCGACAGAAGAGGAAGACAACAUCAGCGGCUCUAAUUUCCACCUUCCAUGCGAAGCUAUUUCCUUUCUCUUCACGGACCCCCAAGCGGUUGGAAGGACGCAUGAUCCCUUGAGACACAACGUGGCUUGAGCAAGCAACACGAUUCCGUGCACUUUGUCCAAUGUGGGCCGACCCAAACCUGGUAAACAAUCGUCUGAACAGAUGCAAUGAACCAACUGCUUACAAAUGGGCCCAAGAGUGCGUCCUAAAGCAUCGCAAUGCACCACAUGCCAUUAUUUUCUGAGAGCUUAGAAACUCAAGAUAUUCAUACAAUAUGUUUUUCUUCCUUGGGAUUCAAAGUGAAAUUUUUUGUUACACCAUAGACAUUUAUUUAUGUUUUUGAACAAGGAGCGACAAGUGACACCCGCAAAAAAAAAAAAGGAGCGACAAGUGACAAGGGGACCCAAGGCCGGUGGCUGACAAGUGGGACCCGUGGUCGGUGGCGUGGGCCUGGCGGGCGGGCCGUCCGACCGUGGGCGCGCGUGCGGGCAUCCAUCUCAUCGACCGCUGGACCGGCUGGCCCAUCCUACUCGCACCACCACCCGCUUCGACGGCCUAGUGAAAGUGAUGGCGCUGUAGCGCAGUGGUGGCAGUGUAGUGGUACCUGCCCUGCCUUCCCCUCCCCGCUCCCUUCGCCCGCAAGGCCAGGCCCCCUACCUCCAUUGACAAUUUCCGCCCCCGUCCCCGCCCCCGCCGCGCCGCGCCGCGGGGCUCCCCUCCGGCGCGCCCUCCCCCGAUGGCCGCGCAGGCGAUCCACCAGUUCGCCGAGUGCAUCACCUGCCACGCCUGGAGCCCCGACCACUCCAGUAACGCCCUCUCCUCCCCCUCCUCCCGCACCCUCCCCUCUCUCCCCCCGCCCCUACGCUCUAGAUCUCACGCCCGUUCGAUUCGCCCCCCCGUUCGCCGCGCCCGUCCUAGCCCUGUAGGAUAACCCGCGGCCGCGCCCGAUCGGUAGCCGUAGCCCGUAUGCGUCGGGUUCAGGGCGGAUUCCUAGGGUUUCGGGCGGGCUCGCGGAUCGCCGUUUCCCAAUCAUCCCAUGUCGAAUGAUUAUUUAUGUCGUGGAAUAGCCAGUAGGUGGUCCGCUGGUUUCCGCUUUCGUGCGACCCUGGCAUGGUGAGCGUUUCGUGAUUUAUGGGCUGUCGGUUGGUGCCAGGUAAAUGCCCUCUUGCGGUGCUCUCGGCGAUACCAUAUUCGGAUGGUACAUUCAAUCAAUCAGUCACAGGUGAUUUAGUUUUUUCAUGUUUGAAACCCCUCUCACAUCUGUGAGGCACCAUGCAUAUCAUUUCUCGCUGGUGAAUGGUGAGCGUUUCAUGAUUUAUUUAUGGGCUGUUGGUUGGUGCUAUGUAGUAAAAAUGGCUUGUUACUGUAUUGAGGUAGCAUAGGUGACAUGGAUGAUGGAUCAGUCCCAGGUGGUUUGGAUAUUCAUGUUGGCCACCUUCUCACAGGUGUGUGCAUCCAUGACUGAAUUUGGGUAUUUAGAACGAAAUCUGAGAGCUGACCAAAUGAAAUGGGCGUUUUCUGUGAAUUAAACCGACGCGCGUAUUGCCUCGCCAUAAUUCUGUUGCCUAUCAUGACCUCAUGUGCUCCUGAAAAUAGUCUUCAGAUAUGCCUUUCUGCCACUAGCUAGCUGCUGUGUUUACAUGUUGUCCCUUGAAUUGUUUAUGGGAAAAAAAAUACAGCAGUAGAUCAUACAAUCUGCCUGUAAUGACAAAAUCUCAAUCGCUGCCUUCUAUUGCACUACUGUUGUCAUUUUCAUUUAUAAAUGCAGGCCCCUUGCCCUCUUAUCAGUUAACUUGACUCGGAACCAUUUCUCUCUUUCAGUGAUUGCCUUCUGUCCAAAUACCACAGAAGUACACAUUUAUAAGUUUUUCACAGACAAGUGGGAGAAACUUCAUGUUCUUGCAAAGGUAGACUUUCCUUAUUUUCUUUCUUGCAUGUGCAGUAGUAUCUGCACUUGAGCUGUCUCUUUCUUCUCCAUUGAACAUUUCCAUUUGCUAGUUUAUAAGUGUAUUACAUUAACAUCUUUAUUUUUAUUGUUAUAUCUUGUAGCAUGAUCAGAUAGUGUCUGGAAUAGACUGGAGUAGAUCUUCCAACAAAAUUGUGACUGUUUCACAUGAUAGAAAUUCGUAAGUGUUUGGUCAUAAUUUCUAAUGUGCAAGUAAAUAGUCUGUUUUUUAGUCCAAAGAAGAUAAUUAUAUCUGUUUCCUUAUAUUCCUUUAUUUACCUGCAGAUAUGUUUGGACACAAGAAGGACAAGAUUGGGUACCUACGCUUGUUAUUCUCAAGCUAAACCGUGCAGCUCUAUGUGUCCAGUGGAGUCCAAAAGGUUCUGCCAAUAGCCUGCCUUCAUACAUCUAUCCCGAAUGCAUUAGGAGUAUCUAUUUCGUUGCUGAAUGAUCAAAUUCUCCAAGUAGAUAUUGUUUCCCAUUGUUUGUUUCAUGCAAUCUAUUUUUUGUACUUAUGUUCCUUAGUUGGUUAUGAAAACUUGUCUCCCAUGGUAGAACAUAGCUGCACAUGAACUAUUUAGCAAUGAACCAUAAGUGAAACAUAUGUAGCUGGAUAUUCCUCACACCAUUGUUUAUAAGGCGUCCCGCCUUGGAUGCUUAGGCGGUAAGGUGCCCUGCCAGCACCUUGCAAUUAUGCCGGCUUUAAGCGCUUAGGCGUCCACAUUAGGUGCUUAGGCGUCAGGGCAGUUGCCGGUUGGUGCUCACCUUAGGCCGCCUUACAAACAAUGCCUCACACUUUAAACUCCUUUCUAAAAGUUUCUGUUGUUUGCAGAAAAUAAGUUUGCUGUGGGAAGUGGUGCUAAGUCUGUAUCCAUUUGCUACUAUGAACAAGAGAAUAACUGGUAUUGGUCGCUGCCACUUCCACUAGUCGUGUACCUGUUUUGAUUAACUUGUUUUUCAAUUAGUUAUGCCCACUGCACUAAUUGAUGAGUGUUUUCUUCUGUUCAGGCAAUUAUUGAAGUUGAUGUGUCACUCUUGAUGUGCGUUCUUUGAACUACUUUGAUUUUCUCUUAUGGUACAGGUGGAUUAGCAAGGUUAUUAGGAAGAAGCAUGAAUCUUCUGUUACUAGUAUCGCGUGGCAUCCAAACAAUGUGAGCAUAAUAUCAUGCCUCUCCUUGAAGUAAUUUGAGCAUAAUCAUCAGUAGGGAAACAUAAGGGACAAUUAUCUAGGGGGUGCAUUCAUUAUAUUUUUGUUCUUUAUCUAUUGGGAGUAGUGAAAAAGAUCAUAUGCGGUUUGCCCCUCUAUAAUGAGAAAUGCAACAUAAAAGAGUAAAGUAAAGGUGCCCUUAUCUGACUGUACCCCAGUUAAUUUGUGCUGUUGUCUGCCACUGGCUAGUAGCAUACCUCCUAUUCGCAUCAGAUGAUUGGAUGAACUUAUUUGAUGUGAUUUUGUUUGGUGUAGACGCCAUGUAUAUGCACGACCCGUUUAUUGGACGUAAUGUUGGUUUCUCUGCUUUCAUCUAAUUUCAGAUACAUCUUGCAACAACUUCUACUGAUGGUAAAUGCAGAGUGUUCUCCACUAUCAUCAAGGGUGUAGAUACAAGGUGGACCUUGCCAUUAUUUUUGAACUGAAAACCUUGCCAUUAACACAGUCAGUACACAUUCCAAAUGCUUUAGCUGUCUCAUGCUUUCUCUCUUUCUGAUUAGGGGACCACACGCAGGUGCCUCAGUGGAUUGGAAAUUCGGAGAGGUAUUUGCUAUUCAUUGAUCCGUUAGUUCAUAAUAUGCUGUUCCUUAGCAAGUAUACAUCUCACGUACCAAAUCUGCUUGCCAAUUUCUUUAUUCGCCUUAUAGACUAAUGGCAUGCAAUUGAACGUGCAUGGCUUUUGCCAAUAGUAACCUCCUAUCAACUUUGUUAGCACUUUGCACCCCAUCUACGGCUAAAAAUAAGAAAUAAUCUGCUGAUUCACAAAGUUUGUUUUCAACCAUGUGGUGGCAUUUUUUAUAUUAAAUACUUCCCCAACUCUUCUAUUCUUGGGAGGCUAAGAAUCCAGAUCAAUAUGGUUCAGAAUGUUCCACAGGACUAUGCUUGCAGUGUCUUAUUAAUCUGUGUUCUUUCUUGUUAAGUUGCUAGUCGUGCUUGUAACAUUUUCUCCUAUUUGGAUGCAGCAAAUUGCUCAACUUGAUCUAUCACCUACAUGGGCAUUUGGUGUAAGGUGGUCGCCAAGUGGAAAAACAUUGGCCUAUGCAGGUUUUUCCACCUAGCUUCUUGUUUAUAUGGGUGCCACUGAUUUGCAUUACUUCUCAGCAGCCAUCUAGGCACAAAUUGUUUACGAACUCAACAUAAUUACCUGCCAAGGGUUUUCACAAUCUUAUUCUUGUAAUUAGUGAACCUCUUCCAUUGUGGUAUUUGAACUUCCAAAAUUUUAUUAAUAGGUCUCUUCAUAAUUAAGGUUUGUCCUAAUCAUUUUAGGCUAAUGAGAUUAUUAUUGGUUUCUUGAUGUUCUAUUUUUAACUUUCUCCUAACUGAAUUUGGGUUCCUUUGUGAGACUAUUGGCCCUUUGGUCUAUCCAUGCAAAGUAUCUAAGUAGCUGCAGAUUCCAUGCAAACUUUUGCAGACACUGAAUUGAUUCUUGUUGUGUUAUUUCCAGGGCACAGUUCCAUGAUUUAUUUCGUUGAUGACGUUGAAGGGUCUCCUGCUGUGCAAAAUUUGGCACUGCGUGAUCUGCCUCUCCGUGAUGUGGGUCAGCAUUUUCCCUUUUGCUAUUGUUUAGUUGCAUGUGGUGAUCUCCACAUUUCAUUAAUUGAGUGAACUCUUCCAAAUUUCAGAUUCUUUUUGUUUCUGAAAAGAUGGCGAUUGGUGUUGGAUUUGACUGCAAUCCUUUGAUCUUUGCUGCAGAUGAGACUGGACUUUGGUAAGAAAAUUGUGCAUAGCAACUGUUUUGUUAAAUUAGCUGCACUUUCUCUUCAUUCUAGCAGUGCUUUGAAGUGGCCAUUGCUUCCUGUAAAAACCAUGUCAACUGUUAACUUCAUUUUGAGGCACCUUCAGCUUGCUAAUUCUUACGGUCUCAUUGUACCUAGGAAAAAA
rnacentral:lncRNA from 1 species